AAGCAAUGAAUAGUAUCUCUGUCUAAUAUCUGGUUCACCUAGGGUAUGCCUAUGUUGUUCAUCUUGGGUGGGAAACAAAUAGUAAAGCAAUCAUCAUCUGUCUUUUUAUUAAAUUAAAGCAAUCAUCAGCCUGCUAUCAUUAUUUUUGGAUCCAUCCACUGGUUGUUACCAUCACUCUAAAGUUCUGCAUGCUCUCCUUACAUAAUCUCACCAUAUUUUUUCGUAUGCAUGUCAGAUAUUGUACACAGUCAUGCUGAACAUGUAGAGAAAAAGAGAAGAGUUUUGCGCGGCAAUACAAUGUUAUGCAGACAUCGCUCCAUGGUGGGUUCAAAGGCAAACCCUCCCCACCCCUCUCCAGAUUGUAAUCUAGAGGAAGAUAUCUGUUCUGAGGCGGAUUCAGACGCUGCUGACCACUCCUAUUUACCCCCCAAGGUGUUUGCUCUACCUUGGCAUGAUGAUGUUAGUCAUAUCAUGCAUAUGUUGCCUUGCAGUGCCUACUUUUGACAUCAUAUAUGUCAUCUGCUUAGUUUAGACAUGUUCUGUAAUGCCACCUGUUUAGUUUCUAUAUCAUAUAUGGGAAUUAUGCAGUCUCAUGUCUUUUAGCCAGCCAUAAUAUACGUGAAAUGUGCAAUGCCAUCCUGUUUAACCAGGCAUCAUAUAUUUGAAUGAUAUCUUGCCCAUCCUUUUCUUCAUUACAUUUCCAUUUGUCGACAAUGUUUGUACAUUAAACUACUCUUCCUGUGAAUCAGCCAUUUGGGUGGGAGAUUGGAAAAUCUGGAGUGAAAACAAGGCCUUCAGAGCAGACAGUGCUACCUGUCGAAGCAGAUCUCUUGUUGGGUCCCGUUAGCUCCUCAGAGAUGGAUUCAGAGAUAGAUGACCAGUCCUAUUCCCCCACCGAGGUGUAUGCUCUAACUUGUCACGGUUAUACUGCUCAUAUCAUGCAUAUGGUGUCUUGCAUUGCAUAGUUUAGACAUCAUAUACACAAUAUUCAACACCAUGUUCUUAGUUCAGACAUCAUAUCUAAUGCCCUCUGUUUAGCAUAUAAAUCACAUAUGUGAAUUAAAUGAUGCGAUCCUGAUUACUUAGAUAACAUGUAGGUGAAUUAUGUCAUGCGAUCCUGUUUAGUUAUUCAUCAUAUCUUUGAAUUAUGUUAUGCUAUGCUAUCCAGUUUAGAUAGACAUCAUAUAUGUGAAAUUAUGUCAUGCUAUCUGUUUUAGUUAAACAAUAUACAAGUCAACUAUUUCAUGCCCUCUUUUUUCCAACUAUCUAUUGCAUCUGUCUCUCAUACAAUGUCUGUACAUUCAACUAUGUUUCCGGUUUAUCAGCCAUUUGAAUUGGAGCGGGUGAUGCCAGCAUCUAGCAGACUAAAAACACGGUCUUCAAAUAAAACAGUGCUACCUCUUGAUGGAGAUAGCACCCCGGUUGUACAUGCACGAGAACCAGCCCUACCACACAUAACCCAAACUCUCGCAGAUUGUACCCCUACUGCGAUGGACAGAGAACCAGCUUCACCCAAUCUAACCCCAACCCCAGCAGAUAGUAACCCAGUUCCUGUUGACACAACACCAUCUCCACCACAGAGCUCCCAAACAAGAGCAGUUAGUAAGGCAGCUCUAGUGCCCAAAGGGCCAGUACUACCACGGCGAACCCCAACUCCACCAGUUAGUACGCCUAUUCCUGUGGAGGAAGCACAACAAGCUAGUCGUAGUUUAGCAUCUAUCGCAUUUGAUGAUGUUAAACGUAUGUGCGUAUCUUCCCAUCUUGGAAAUAUUAUACUGAAGAUGAAGGAAAAUGCCAGUUGUAGGUGUUUGUCCAGGAGUUAUGUGUAAGUAAUGUUAUUCAUGGCAUUUACUUUGCUUUGUCCCAUACAUUCUACCUCCAUGAUUGUUAUAAUACAACAAAUUUUCCCAUUUUUCUCUAUAGAGAAGGACCGAUUUGGAAACUCAGGAUGAGGUAACCUGUGCUAAUACCUCUGCUAUCUUCAAGAAUGCUUGGUGGCAGUAUCAGAAUUACCUGAAGAAAACGUACUUCACCGACAAGAAACUCAUAAAAUUCCCUUACGUUCUCCUGAGACACAUUUACUGGACGAUGACUGGGAACGCCUUGUUCUGUAUUGGUCCCGAACCAAGAAUGUGGUAAGGUCUAUGAGCUCAUUUUAUAUUUUUAAGUACUAUAUUCUUGUGUCUUGCUGUACUCUGUUCAUGUAGAACAAGUGCCGAAACCUGAAGAACAACUGUUCUAAUUUAAGAUUCCAUUGCUAUCAUAGUUCAAAAAAGCGCUAGGCGUUAAUUGUGCGUUUUGCCACCGCCUUGCGCUUUACUGACCAAAGCGCAUGCUUAUGCACAGUUAUGCAUAGAUUAAGCGUAGUUAUGCGCAAUGCGUUUCCCCAACGCCUAGAGCCUAGGCGCGCUUCGCUUAGGCGCGCCUUUUUUAACUAUGAUUGCUAUCGUGCAUACUGCUUUGCUCUUGUAUCACUGUAUUUACUCAUACAAACUUAUUUUUAAAUUGAGGAUCCAAUCGAAACUCCAGUGGCACAACAGGUAUGUUCACGCAUGUUUCUUUAACAGGCUUGCUCUUAUCAAUAGCUCUGUUGAUUUCAAUUUCAAUUGUGUAUGCAGUUGACUUCUCAUAUUAUGCACAUUACUAGCAUCACAACAGAGCCAAUAGUGUUGUUGUACAUGUAGACCCGUGGUACCCAUCUGAAAUCUUGUUGUGCCGUGUAGUUUCCCACGCUUUGUAUUCUUUCACUACUGCUUUGUCUUGAACUGAUAUGAUUUGAACCGUGUCUCUAUUUUGAUUUGGCAAGACAAUGAAGUGACCAUAGGACAUAGAUAUAUGUUUGUUUGAUGCUUUUAUUAUGUACUAGUACUUGGCAAUAGAAGACUUGGUAGUUUAAUCCUGUCCACCUUACUAAUGAACUGGUUCACCGAAAUGAGUUCCAUAUACUAGUACAUGCUAAACCUGUUAUGUGUCUGCUUGUUUCUUCUUUUAGAAUGCUGACAGAAUAUUGGGGAAGAGUGCCUUAUUAAGCAAUGGUAAUGCAGAUAAGGUUCAGGAUAGUGACACAUCCUUGUUGGUCUCCAACAAAGCUGAUAAAACAACUAAGGAAGACUAUCUCGAAGACAGUGAGACAACCCCAAAGUCCUGUCUUGGUUUAGUGUUCGAAUUACUGGCCACUACCGCUUGCACAAGCUAUUCAAACUCACUAUCUGAAUCAGUUCAGUUUCUUGAGUCUCAACUACAAGCUGAAAGACAUCGAUCAGCUGUGCUACGACAAGAAGCGGAAGGACUACGGAAGUCCCUGGAGCAUUCAGAUGCAUACUUUCUGGUGCAACAGCAAGCGUUGGAGGAUUUUAGCGCCAAAUAGGACAAAGCUAAUAAGCUUGCUAAGCUUAUUGCUAGCAUGGUGGAUACCACGUUUCUUGAGCUCUUCUGAAGUUGUUUCAGUUAUGCUCUUGUUUUGCUGCCGCGUUUAUUUGCACUUGUGGCCAAUUUUGACGGCCAGUGUAUGUAAUAUGCUGCUUUGUUCCCUAUAUUUGCACUGGUGGCGAACUUUGAUGCCCAGUGGAUGUAAUAUGUGUAAUAGCGGUAAUAGGCUAGCGUUAAUUGCUUGCUUAUUUAUUUCCUUAUUGUCUUGUUUAGUUCUUUUUCUGUGUUUUUCUAGUGGCCACAAUAACCUAUUUUUGGAAACUAGGCCAAAAUAAUCAUGGCAACACACGGACUGUUGUAACCAUGGGCCUCCUGCGGGCCGUAUGAUCCAUGGGCCUUCUAUGGGCUGUAGGAUCCAUUGGCCUUCUAUACGGGACGUAGGAUCCAUGGGCCUUCUACGGGCCGUACGAUCCAUGGGCCUUUUACGGGCCGUACGAUCCAUGGGCCUUCUACGGGGCGUAUCAUCAUUUCGCCAAUCAUGGUCCAUACUAUUCAUGGACAAUAACGGGCCAUUAAUAGGCCGUAUUUGAUAAGUUUAUGAAAACAGCCCAACGGGUUUUUUUCGACAUGAAAACGGCCCAACGUAUUAACGGGCCGACUGUAACCACGGGCUGAAUUUGGCCCACAAUCAGAAAAUGACAGUAACGGGCCAUAAGUAACCGAAUGCUGGAAAUGAGCCCAAGAAUAAAUGGGCCCUGAGAAGGCCGAAAGAUAACAUGGGCUGGAAAUGGCCCAACGGAAUAAUGGGCUGUUAAUGGGUAUAAAGUGAUACAUUGUUCAUUACGGGCCAGUUUUACCACGGGCCGUUAAGGGGCCGAGGGUUACUAAGGGCCUCAUAUGGGCCGAAAGACGUCAUGGGCCAUACAUGGGCCGGAAGUUAAAACGGGCUGGAAUUAUAUUGGACGGCCCAGAUGACGCUACUGGGCCUAAUUCGGAUAGGCCGUAAACGGGCCCUGGGAUAGCGGGCUGUAAUUGGGCAAUAUGCGAACAGGCCAUUAACAGGCUUGUCGUGGGCCGGCCCGCCACCUUUUGACCAAGUCAAACGGGCCUGCCUUUGCACAGGAAUGGGCCUCUGUUGGGCCGUGCCACGUGUCGACGUAUCAUAGGUGCUUUGGGUCCAAUGAGUGGAUGACAUCUGUCCCAACGGUGAGCCCACACGUGUUUCCUCCAGCCAAUGAUGAUUUUACAUGUGGAAAAUCCCCAUUGGCCGGGGCUAUUAAUGGGUUAUCGGAUCCAAAACCGGACCCGAUAGCUUAACGGCGUUCCGUUCCGGUGGAUGCCACGUGUCAGUCACCCUUGACGAAAGCACUUCUGUGACGCUUGAUUUAUCGUCAUGGAAGUGGACACUUCCGUGAUGAUAAUUUUGGUCAUGGAACACUUCUACGACAACACAGGUAUGACUAUCUUGAUUCUAUCAUAAAUUUUUCAUGGAUGUACAUGCAUGACAGAAAACGUGACCUAUUGUGACAAACACGUAUCAUCACGGAAGUGUAUUUUUUUGUACUGCAAGGACCAUGAUGGCGGAGUUCAAGUCUCCAUACAACUUUUGGGCCAAAGCCAUUAACACCGCAUGUCAUGCAUCCAAUCGGCUCUACCUCUGCAAGGGUUUGAACAAGACUCCAUAUGAGAUUCUCGCCGGUAACAAGCCCAACCUCAAGUACUUCCAGGUGUUCGGGUGUAAGUGUUUCAUUCUCAAGAAAGGUGCUCGUUUGUCUAAAUUCGAGGCUAGAGCUCAAGAGGGCAUAUUUGUUGGUUAUGCUAAAAACUCUUAUGCUUACCGUGUCCUCAAUAAGUCCACGGGACUUAUUGAGGAGACAUGUAACGUGGAGUUUGAUGAGAAUAACGGCUCCCAACACUACAAAAAAAAUACACUUCCGUGAUGAUACGUGUUUGUCACAGUAGGUCGCAUUUUUUGUCAUGCAUGUACAUCCAUGACAAAUUUAUGAUAGAAUCAAGAUAGUCAUACCUGUGCUAUCGUAGAAGUGUUCCAUGACAUUACCAAAAUUAUCAUCACGGAAGUGUCCACUUCCAUGAUGAUAAAUCGCGCGUCACAGAAGUGCUUUCAUCAAGGGUGACCGACACGUGGCAUCCACCGUAACGGAACGACGUUAAGCUAUCGGGUCGGGUUUUGGAUCCGAUAACCCGUUAACAGCCCCGACCAAUGGGGAUUUUCCACGUGUAAAAUCAUCAUUGGCUAGAGGAAACACGUGUCGGCUCAUCGUUGGGACAUAUGUCAUCCACUCACUGGACAGAAGGCUCCUAUGAUACGUCGACACAUGGCACGGCCCAACAGUGGCCCAUUCCUGUGAAAAGGCCGGCCCGUUUGACUUGGUCAAAAGCUGGCGGGUCGGCCCAUGGAAAGCCUGUUAACGUCAUGUUCGCAUAUAGCCCAUUUACAGCCCGCUAACCCAAGGCCCGUUACGCCCUAUCCGAAUUAGGCCCAGUAGCGUCAUCUAGGCCAUCCAAUAUGAUUCCAGCCCAUUUUCACUUCUGGCCCAUGUAUAGCCCAUGACGUCUUUCGGCCCAUAUGACGCCCUUUGUAACUCUUGGCCCAUUAGCGGCCCGUGCUGAAACUGGCUCGUAAUGAACAGUGUAUUACUUUACACCCAUUAACGGCCCGUGGUGAAACUGGCCCGUAAUGAACAGUGUAUCACUUUAUACCCAUUAACGGCCCAUUAUUUCAUUGGGCCGUUUCCAGCCCAAGUUAACUUUCGGCCUUCUGAGGGCCCAUUUAUUCUUGGGCUCAUUUGCAGCGUUCGGUUACUUACGGCCCGUUACUGUCAUUUUCUGCUUGUGGGCCAAAUUCAGCCCGUCGUUACAGUCGGCCCGUUUGUGGACCGUUAGUCUGUUGGGCCAUUUUCAUAGCAUCACCAAAUACGGCCUAUUAACGAUGGCCCGUUAUGGUCGGCCCAUGAACGGACGAUUCCAACUCUAGCCCGUUUACGGUCAUAAUGCGGUCUGUUUGGCCCAUGUUUGGCCAAUCGAUCAUACGGCCCGUAUAAGGCCCAUUGAUGAUACGGCCCGCAGAAGGCCCAUUGUUUCUACGGCCCGUAGAAGGCCCAUUGUUUCUACGGCCUGUAGAAGGCCCACUGUUUCUACGGCCAGUAGGAGGCCCAGUGUCACUACAGUAAAUAUUAGCCCACGGUUAUUGUGGCCUAGUUUUAAAAAAUAGGUGCAGCCACUAGCUAACCGCGGAAAAAGAACUGCAAUGACUACAGGCAAACAAAUAAACAAGACAACAAGGAAAUAAAUAAGCAAGCAACUAACGCUAGGCUAUCACGGCUAUUACACAUAUUACAUCCACUGGGCAUCAAAGUUUGCCACCAGUGCAAAUAUAGGGAACAAAGCAGCAUAUCAUAUACACUGGUUGUCAAAGUUGGCGACCAGCGCAUAUAAAUGCCGCAGCAAAACAAAUCCAGAACUGAAACCACUUCAGAAGAUCUCAAGAAACAAUAUCCUGGGUACCCAUAAUGCUGGCAAGAUGCUUAGCAAGCUUAUUAACUUUCUCUUGUUUGGCGCUUAAAUCCUCCAGCGCUUGUUGUUGCACCAGAAAAUAUGCAUCUGAAUUCUGCAGGGACUUCCUCACCUUCAGCUUCCUGUCGCAACACAUCUGAUCGAUGUCUUUCAACUUGAAGUUGAGACUCAAGAAGACGAACUGAUUCAGGCAGCGAGUUCGAAGAGCUUGUGCCAGCAGUAGUGGCCAGUAACUCGAACACUACAUCAAGACAGGACUUUUGGGUUCCCUCACUGUCGUCAAGAUAGUUUUUAUCAGCUUUCUUGGAGACCAACAGGGAUGUCUCACUAUCUUGAACCUUAUCUGCAUUACUUCCUUUACCAUUGGAUAACGCGGUACUGUUCUCCAAUAUUUUGUCCGCAUUCUAAAAGAGAAACAAGCAGACACAUCACAUGUUUACCAUGUUGUAUAUGAAACUCAUUUUGGUAAAUGAGUUUAGUAGUAAAGUGGACAGGAUAACAGUAUGAAACAAACAUAUAUCUAUGUACCAUGGUCACUUUAUGGUCUAUAUCAUUCUAGUUUUUGUUGCCAAAUCAAGAUAGAGACACAGUUCAAAUAAUAUUUGUUCAAGACAAAGCAGAAUAGACAGGAUAUAAGUGUGGGUAACUAUAGAGCAAUAACAACGCUUGUAAUGUGCAUGACAUGAGAACAUAACUAUUUAUUCAAUUGAAACUAAAAUCAACAUAGAGCAGGUUACAACAGCAAACCAGUUAAAGAAACAGGUUUAAAACAUACCUGUUGCGCCAUUGGAGUUUCAAUUCCAUUCUUCAAAUUUGAAAAUAGUUGGUAUGAGUAAAUACAGUAAUGCAAGAGCAAAGGAGUAUGAACUAUAGCUACAGAACCUGACCUGAGAACAAAUCUUCUUCUCCUAUAAGCGUUGAGUUGGGAUUCGGAGUGGUGGUCCUCGUGCUUUGGGCACUGCAGUUCCCUUACUAACUGCUCGUGUUUGGGUGCUCUGUGGUGGAGACGGUGUUGUGUCAACUGGAACUGGGUUACUAUCUGCCGGGGUUGGGGUUAGAAGGGGUGUAGCUGGUUCUCUGUCCAACUGGGUAGGGGUACAAUCUGCGAGAGUCUGGGUUAUGUGUGGUGGAUCUGGUCCUUGGGCAAGUACAACCGUGGUUCUAUCUACAUCAACUGGUAGCAUUAUCUUUUCUGAAGACCGUGUUGUUACUCCCUUAGAUACUGCCAUCACGCUCUCCAAUUCAAAUGGCUGAUAAGCAAGAAAAGUAAUUGAAAGUAUAGACAUUGUAUGAUAGACAGGUGCAAUGGAUAGUGGGGAAUAAAAGAGGGCAUGAAAUAAUUCAUAUUUAUGUUGUCUAACCAAACAGGAUAGCAUGACACAAUUUCACAUAUAUGAUGGCUAACUAAACAAGAUAGCAUGACACAAUUUCACAUUAUGAUGGCUAACUAAAAAAGAUGGAAAGACAUAGUUCAAAAUAUGAGACUAUGUAAACAGGAUGACAUGACAUAACUAUAUAAAGUGUUUAUUAAAUAGGUUGGCAUGCCAUAAUUCACAUACACUCACGAAUAGAAUGCCAUAAUUCAAAAUAUGAUGACUGUAAACACUAAACAGGAUGAGAUGAUAUAACUAUAUGAUGUCUUUAUUAAAUGGGUUGCCAUGCCAUAAUUCAGAUAGAUGAUGUGUAUGUACUAUGUAAACAUGAUGGCAUGAUAUAAUUCAAAUAUAUGAUUUAUAUAAUAAGCAAGUAAGCAGAUGGCAAUCCAUAUAUGAUGUAAAAACUAAGCAAUGCAAGACAACAUGCAUGACAUGGGUAAUAUAACCCUGCCAAGUUUGAGCAUAGACCUCAGGGGGGAAAUAGGACUGGUCAUCAGUCUCUGAAUCCUCCUCUGAGGAGCUCUCUGUAACCAGCAAGAUGUCUGCUUCAGCAGGUAGCAUUGUCUGCUCUGAAUACCUUGUUUUCACUCCAGAUACUUCCAUCACUGCUUCAAAUGGCUGAUGCACAGGAAGAGUAGUUGUAUAUACAAACAUUGUCGACAAAUGGAACACGUAAUACAAAAAAUGAUAGCAUGAUAUAAUUCACAUACAUGAUGAUUGGCUAAACAGCAUGGCAUUGCAUAAUUCACAUAUAUAAUGCCUUUGCAACAAGAUAGUAAUUCACAUAUAUAAUGUCUUGCAACAAGAUGGCAAUGCAUAAUUCACAUAUAUGGUAAUUAGACACUGAACAGGUGGCAUUCACACAAAGCAUGUAUAAACUAAUCAAAUGACAUAGCAAUGUGAGACACCAUACGCACGAUAUGAGCAACAUAACCCUGCCAAGUUAGAGCAUACACCUCGGGGGGGAAUAGGAUUGGUCAUCUGUCUCUGAAUCCUCCUCUGAGGAGCUAUCCGUAACCAGCGAGAUAUGCGCUUCGUCAGAUAGCAUAGUCUGCUCGGAAGACCUUGUUUUCACUCCAGAAUUUGCCAUCACCGUGUCAAAUGGCUGAUGCACACGAAGAGCAGUUGAAUGUACUAACAUUGUUGACAAAAGUAAUAUGUAACGGAAAAAAAGGAUGGACUGAUAUAAUUUACAUAUAAGAUGACUGGCUAAGCAGGAUGGCAUUGUAAAAUUCACAUAUAUGAUGCCUGGCUAAACAAGAUGGCGUUGCAUAAUUCACAUAAACGAUGAAUAAACUAAACAGAUGACAUUCGCACAAAGGAUGUCUAAACUAAGCAGAUGACAUAUUUGAUGUAUAAAGUAAGCAAUGCAAGACACCAUAUGCAUGAUAUAACCAACAUCAGCAUGUCAAGUUAGAGCGAAGACCUCAGGGGGUAAAUAGGAGUUGUCUUCUCCUUCUGAAUCCCCCUCAGAACAGAUAUCUUCCUCUCGAUUACAAUCCGAAAUGCGUGGAGGGGGGCUGCCUUGCGCCUACCAUGGAGCGACGUCUGCAUGAAAUUUUAUUGCCACGCAAAGCUCGUCUCUUUUGCUCUACAUGUUCAGUUCCAUUAUUUACAAUAACUGUCAUGCAUAGGAAUAAAACAUAGUGAGAUUAUGUAAGGAGUGCAUGCAGAAAUCCAGAGUGAUGGUAGCAACCUGUGGAUAGACCCAAAACCAAUAAUAGCAGGCAGAUAAUGGCUUCAGUUAAAAAAUACAGAUAAUGGCUUCUUUACUGUUUGUUUCCCACCCAACAUGAAACUCAUAGUAGACACCGGAGAUUAACCAGAUAGUAGAUAGAUACUAUUGAUAGCGGCCCCGAUAUGUACCCCACAACCAUUUAAAAACUCAAGUUUGACCAUUAGUUUGGAGCUGACUCAGAGUCUAAUCGGUGAACAGGACGAUAAAGUAGCAUGUAAUAUUAAGCGAUGCAUAACGUAAGCAGACACGAAAGACUGCGACCUCUCUUGCGGACCCGUGUAGUCCUCGAGGUCAUCUGCUCGGUUGAUGAUGGUAAUGCAGUUUUCAUGGCUGCCAGCGGCGGGGAAGAAGAUCUGAGGCGGCGAAAGACAGUCUGGAGGCCGGAUCCCUGCUGUGCUGGACCCUUCUGUCGUUGGAGCAGCUGAGCUGGGGUGGACGACGGCGCAGCAGGAGCGGGACAAACCACGCAAGGUUUUCUUUGACAACUAUCUGUAAGAGAAGUAAUUCUGUAAGGGCUCGUUUGAAUUAGAGGAUUCCAACAAUGCAGGGAUAGGAAAUAGACAAGAAUAGGAUAGGAAUGCACGUGCAAAACAGAGAAUUUAAAAACACAGGAUUUCUGCCAAUCUGGGUGUUUGAUUCACAACAAUUGGAUGAUCACAGGAUGCAAAGAAGCAUGGUGAGAUUAAGUCAAACCACAAGAAAAUGUACGGUUAUAAUGCUAUUAUGCUACUAUCUCUUAGUCUUGUGCUUCAUGAAUAGGAAUUUGAAAAGGAGGACAAGUGAAAAUUAAAAUUCCUACGUUUUUUCUUUCAAGGAGACACUAAAGGAACAAAUCUGUGUGCUCAGUGGACAAUAUAUAUAACAUGUAGAGUAAAAAAGAGAUGCAACAAGUGUAUAACCUCUUUGGCGAAGCCAUGUCGAUCUCAGCGUGAUUGGGUUGGCCGGUAAGGAUGCUCCGGCUGACUUUGCUGUCAGAGGAGGGGAAGAAGAUCUUAGGUGUCUGGAGAUGGAGCCCGAGGUACUGCUCCGCUGUGAUGGAGGGUUUCGUCGUUGGAGCAGCUCAAGUGAGUUGUACGACGCCGAGGCUGAAGCAGGACAAGAGAGACAACGAACAACGUUAACCUGAGUGGAAUUCUAAUAGCAUCUCCAAUACAUGACGUAAAAUACAUAACCACAAAAUGCUAGAUGUAAAAUACAUCAGCCGCUCAUCUCUGAACUUAACUGACGAAACUGAACUUAACUGUCGAAACUGAACUUAACUGUCGAAACUGAAUUUUGCUGUCGAAACUGAAUUUUGCUGUCGAAACUGAACGCACUAGCAAGGUGAGGCUACACGUCGGUCGACUGACUUUUUCAUCUCUGGUCAGUCGAUUUUGCAGCCGUUGGAUACGAAAUCAAGGGCAUGCGGUUCAUCUUCAACCUCCACCCCCCUAAGCCGCCAGCCACCACCGGCNNNNNNNNNNNNNNNNNNNNNNNNNNNNNNNNNNNNNNNNNNNNNNNNNNNNNNNNNNNNNNNNNNNNNNNNNNNNNNNNNNNNNNNNNNNNNNNNNNNNNNNNNNNNNNNNNNNNNNNNNNNNNNNNNNNNNNNNNNNNNNNNNNNNNNNNNNNNNNNNNNNNNNNNNNNNNNNNNNNNNNNNNNNNNNNNNNNNNNNNNNNNNNNNNNNNNNNNNNNNNNNNNNNNNNNNNNNNNNNNNNNNNNNNNNNNNNNNNNNNNNNNNNNNNNNNNNNNNNNNNNNNNNNNNNNNNNNNNNNNNNNNNNNNNNNNNNNNNNNNNNNNNNNNNNNNNNNNNNNNNNNNNNNNNNNNNNNNNNNNNNNNNNNNNNNNNNNNNNNNNNNNNNNNNNNNNNNNNNNNNNNNNNNNNNNNNNNNNNNNNNNNNNNNNNNNNNNNNNNNNNNNNNNNNNNNNNNNNNNNNNNNNNNNNNNNNNNNNNNNNNNNNNNNNNNNNNNNNNNNNNNNNNNNNNNNNNNNNNNNNNNNNNNNNNNNNNNNNNNNNNNNNNNNNNNNNNNNNNNNNNNNNNNNNNNNNNNNNNNNNNNNNNNNNNNNNNNNNNNNNNNNNNNNNNNNNNNNNNNNNNNNNNNNNNNNNNNNNNNNNNNNNNNNNNNNNNNNNNNNNNNNNNNNNNNNNNNNNNNNNNNNNNNNNNNNNNNNNNNNNNNNNNNNNNNNNNNNNNNNNNNNNNNNNNNNNNNNNNNNNNNNNNNNNNNNNNNNACUGAAGUGUAGCUAAAUCGGAGCAGCAUCGGAAGCAAGAGCAAGAGCGAGAGCAGCAGGGCGAGCAAGAGCAAUAGCAAGAGCAGACCAGGCAGGGAACCGAGAACAAGAGCAGAGCAGCAACGCGAGCGAGAGCUAAAGCAGCAGCAGCUCCUACUGAUGUGGACGUCGCCGCCGAGGGAGCGAUGCCGUGGAGGAAGUGGUCGGCGACGCCGCCGUGGAUGGAGCCGCGCCGUGUCGGCUCGGGACCGAGCGCCGGCAGCACCGUGAGAUCGAAUCAAGAAGAAAAUGCGGCGAUUAGUGUACAACCUCUUUGGUGGCGCCGAUUAGGCCGUAGCUUCAUCCGAGGAAACGGUGAUGAUGAUGCUCUUCCGGUGGUGCAGGUGAAGACGGCGGUGUGGGAAUGGAGGUGGCGCGAAAGACGAGGGGAACGUCGGGGCAGCUCCUUGGAGGUGGAGGACGGGGUGGCUGAACCGGCGGGACGAUGAGAUCGACGACGGAUCCUCAUCCGGUACGGUGGAUGAGGGACGUCGAGGUGUUGCUGUGGACGACGUCGUCGGGGAAGAGGCUCCGGCUGGGUGGCGAACGGAGCAUGGUGUGGGGUUUCAUCGCGGGUUUUCGCGGCCUCGCUGUACGAAUGGGUGGGCGGAUGGGAUGGCAGUAGGGAAUCAUGGCUUAGAGACACGCUUGUCCGAAAUGUGGGGUAAGUUACAAAAGUACCCCCCACCGAUUCGAGGCGGUUCUUUCGGUUCAGGGGUACCACGGGCAUUUCGCGUGUCGGGAUUUCACAGGAGGUGGGAGUUUUCGCGCGCGUUGUAAUUUCGGAAUAGCAAGGCGCGGGUUGAGAUGGAGGGAGUUGUCGGAGCACAACGAGACAAAGAUAUAUCUUAAAUAUUUUGGGCUAACAAGGCGCGGGUUGAAAUUUCCGGACAAGCCUAACGUGUACUGUGCCAAAUCAAUGCGCACUACAAAUGUCAUUCAAAACUUUGAAUUCAUGUUAUGUUCAAUUAAAAUAUUUCGCUACGUGUAUAAUGCAUGCAACCUACUACUCAAAUGAACGUUUUAAUGCAUUCCAAACGUAUAUACUACCGCUUCAAUAUGAAGUAAAUUUGAAUUCGUUUCUCUAUUUGAAUAAGAUCUACAGUAAUGAUUGUUGUGAAGUCAAAGCAUUUGAAUUCGUUUCUCUGUUUUAAUAAGAUCUACAAUCAUCAUUAUUGUCAAGUUAAACCAUCGUUUGUGUAUUAUCUUCACAGCACACCACAUGAUUAGUCUCGAGUUACAUAUGAACUAUGUGCACUAUAUGAACUCGAACUAGAUUUUUUGAAUCCACUUUAUUUUGAUUUCAAAUCACAUUACAUUUCUAGCUCUAGCUAGAUCUUCAUAAUCUAAACCAUGUCUCAUAUGUAUAAUGUGUUUAUCACAUUAUGUAUGGUGCCCCGCCCCCUACGCCUACAAGUAUUUAGAUGUGAGUUGCAAACACCACACAUUACCACAAAUUCAAAUAAAAUGUGAGAAUGUUCGAUAUAUAGUAUUGUUUAGAUUGUUCGAUAUUUAGUUGUAAGCUCCAAACGCCACACAUUAUCACAAAUUCAAAUAAAAUGUGAGAUUGUUUGAUGUAUAGUAUGGUUUAGAUUGUUCGGCAUUUAGCUGUGAGUUGCGAACGCCAUGCAUUAUCACAUUAUGGUAUAACAUGUGCACAGCACGUGUAUCACCGCUAUAUUCAUGCAUGCAAUGUUUAAAACACUAUGAUCUCCGAUUCAAAUAUAUGAAUCCGCUUUCAUAUCAAAUUAUGAUCUUUGUUAGUCUCUUACACCCACACAAUCCUCUAAACUUUGUAGCUACCACUAACUUUCUCUCGUGCAUGCACACGCCCUCCUCGCCCUCCCCCUCCCUCGGCAUUCUAUCCACCGGGCACAUUCAUUUUUUUCUUUAGGUCGUUCUCCCAGAGUCUCCACAACUCCUUUCCGACACACACCGAUCGAUAAACCUCUCCAGCGAUGCCUGCCUACAACAUACACACACACCUUCAAUCUCCUCCUUUAUGUGUCCUUGCCUCGUGUCUCUCAUACGGUCAGACACACGUGUAAACUCUCGCCCCUCUUUUCAUCGAUCUCACAACCACACACUCCUCCCCCUAUCUAGCUAGUAGUUGGGCCUCUCGCACCACCUCCUAGCUCCAUUCUCUCUGUCUAUCCGUAUCGCUGGGCCUUAUUUGCCUCUAACAAAUGGACGUACACCGACUGAUCUCUCGCUAUACAUGUAGCUAGCUAGGUCCUUAUAACUCGUUUUUACCCACACGUCAAUCGAUCUACCUCAUUAGUUGUGUCUCUCCCUUCCUCCAACAAACAACAAUUGAUCUACCGAUCUAGUUAGGUUUGCUUACCAAACACAUGGUUCCCCUUCAUCAUCCAUGGAUGCGUCCCGACAGAUCUAUCACACACACGCACACACAGAAACACAUCCCCACUCUUAUUGAUAACAUUGCAGUUCCACCCUCAGUUUGUCUAGUAGGUGUUGGAAAUAUGCCCUAGAGGCAAUAAUAAAAUGGUUAUUAUUAUAUUUCCUUGUUCAUGAUAAUUGUCUAUUGUUCAUGCUAUAAUUGUGUUAUCCGGAAAUCGUAAUACAUGUGUGAAUACAUAGACCACAACGUGUCCCUAGUAAUCCUCUAGUUGACUAGCUCGUUGAUCAACAGAUAGUCAUGGUUUCCUGACUAUGGACAUUGGAUGUCAUUGAUAACGGGAUCACAUCAUUAGGAGAAUGAUGUGAUGGACAAGACCCAAUCCUAAGCAUAGCGCAAAGAUCGUGUAGUUCGUUUGCUAGAGCUUUUCCAAUGUCAAGUAUCUUUUCCUUAGACCAUGAGAUCGUGUAACUCCCGGAUGCCGUAGGAGUGCUUUGGGUGUACCAAAUGUCACAACGUAACUGGGUGACUAUAAAGGUACACUACAGGUAUCUCUGAAAGUGUCUGUUGGGUUGACACAGAUCGAGACUGGGAUUUGUCACUCCGUAUGACGGAGAGGUAUCUCUGGGCCCACUCGGUAAUGCAUCAUCAUAAUGAGCUCAAUGUGACUAAGGAGUUAGCCACGGGAUCAUGCAUUACGGUACAAGUAAAGAGACUUGCUGGUAACGAGAUUGAACAAGGUAUUGGGAUACCGACGAUCGAAUCUCGGGCAAGUAACAUACCGAUUGACAAAGGGAAUUGUAUAUGGGAUUGAUUGAAUCCUCGACAUCGUGGUUCAUCCGAUGAGAUCAUCGAGGAACAUGUGGGAGCCAACAUGGGUAUCCAGAUCCCGCUGUUGGUUAUUGACCGGAGAGUCGUCUCGGUCAUGUCUGCAUGUCUCCCGAACCCGUAGGGUCUACACACUUAAGGUUCGGUGACGCUAGGGUUGUAGAGAUAUUAGUAUGCGGUAACCCGAAAGUUGUUCGGAGUCCCGGAUGAGAUCCCGGACGUCACGGGGAGUUCCAGAAUGGUCCGGAGGUGAAGAAUUAUAUAUAGGAAGUCCAGUUUCGGCCACCGGGAAAGUUUCGGGGGUUAUCGGUAUUGUACCGGGACCAUCGGAAGGGUCCUGGGGGUCCACCGGGUGGGGCCACCUAUCCCGGAGGGCCUCAUGGGCUGAAGUGGGAAGGGAACCAGCCCUUAGUGGGCUGGGGCGCCCCCCUUGGGCCUCCCCCUGCGCCUAGGGUUGGAAACCCUAGGGGUGGGGGCGCCCCACUUGGCUUGGGGGGCAAGCCACCCCCCUUGGCCUCCGCCCCCCCCCCCUCAGAUGGGAUCUCCAGGGGCCGGCGCCCCCCCCAGGACCCCUAUAAAUAGUGGGGGGGAGGGCAGCAGCAAGACAGCCCCUGGCGCCUCCCUCUCCCUCCCGUGACACCUCUCCCUCCCGUUUGCGCUUGGCGAAGCCCUGCCGGGAUCCCCGCUACUUCCACCACCAUGCCGUCGUGCUGCUGGAUCUCCAUCAACCUCUCCUUCCCCCUUGCUGGAUCAAGAAGGAGGAGACGUCGCUGCUCCGUACGUGUGUUGAACGCGGAGGUGCCGUCCGUUCGGCGCUCGGUCAUCGGUGAUUUGGAUCACGACGAGUACGACUCCAUCAACCCCGUUCACUUGAACGCUUCCGCUCGCGAUCUACAAGGGUAUGUAGAUGCACUCCUUCCCUCUCGUUGCUAGUAAACUCCAUAGAUGGAACUUGGUGAUGCGUAGAAAAUUUUAAAAUUCUGCAACGAUCCCCAACAGUGGCAUCAUGAGCCAGGCCUAUGUGUAGUUUCUAUGCACGAGUAGAACACAAACUUGUUGUGGGCGUAGAUGUUGUCAAUUUUUCUUGCCACUACUAGUCUUAUCUUGUUUUGGCGGCAUUGUGGGAUGAAGCGGCCCGGACCGACCUUACACGUACGCUUACGUGAGACAGGUUCCACCGACUGACAUGCACUAGUUGCAUAAGGUGGCUAGCGGGUGUCUGUCUCUCCCACUUUAGUCGGAACGGAUUCGAUGAAAAGGGUCCUUAUGAAGGGUAAAUAGAAAUUGGCAUAUCACAUUGUGGUUUUACGUAGGUAAGAAACGUUCUUGCUAGAAACCUAUAGAAGCCACGUAAAAAACAUGCAACAACAAUUAGAGGACGUCUAACUUGUUUUUGCAGCAUGUGCCUUGUGAUGUGAUAUGGCCAAAAGGAUGUGAUGAAUGAGAUAUAUGUGAUGUAUGAGAUUGAUCAUGUUCUUGUAAUAGGAAUCACGACUUGCAUGUCGAUGAGUAUGACAACCGGCAGGAGCCAUAGGAGUUGUCUUUAUUUUUUGUAUGACCUGCGUGUCAUUGAAUAACGCCAUGUAAAUUACUUUACUUUAUUGCUGAACACGUUAGCCAUAGAAGUAGAAGUAAUCGUUGGCGUGACAACUUCAUGAAGACACGAUGAUGGAGAUCAUGAUGAUGGAGAUCAUGGUGUCAUGCCGGUGACGAAGAUGAUCAUGGCGCCCCGAAGAUGGAGAUCAAAGGAGCAAAAUGAUAUUGGCCAUAUCAUGUCACUAUUUGAUUGCAUGUGAUGUUUAUCAUGUUUUACAUCUUAUUUGCUUAGAACGACGGUAGUAAGUAAGAUGAUCCCUUAUAAUAAUUUCAAGAAAGUGUUCCCCCUAACUGUGCACCGUUGCGAAGGUUCGUUGUUUCGAAGCACCACGUGAUGAUCGGGUGUGAUAGAUUCUAACGUUCGCAUACAACGGGUGUUGACGAGCCUAGCAUGUACAGACAUGGCCUCGGAACACACGCAAUACACUUAGGUUGACUUGACGAGCCUAGCAUGUACAGACAUGGCCUCGGAACACAGAAGACCGAAAGGUCGAGCAUGAGUCGUAUAGAAGAUACGAUCAACAUGGAGAUGUUCACCGAUGUUGACUAGUCCGUCUCACGUGAUGAUCGGACACGGCCUAGUUAACUCGGAUCAUGUUUCACUUAGAUGACUAGAGGGAUGUCUAUCUGAGUGGGAGUUCAUUGAAUAAUUUGAUUAGAUGAACUUAAUUAUCAUGAACUUAGUCUAAAAUCUUUACAAUAUGUCUUGUAGAUCAAAUGGCCCACGUUGCCCUCAACUUCAAUGCGUUCUAGAGAAAACCAAGCUGAAAGAUGAUGGCAGCAACUAUACGGACUGGGUCCGGAACCUGAGGAUCAUCCUCAUAGCUGCCAAGAAAGAUUAUGUCCUAGAAGCACCGCUAGGUGAAGCACCCAUCCCAGAGAACCAAGACGUUACGAACGCUUGGCAGUCACGUGCUGAUGAUUACUCCCUCGUUCAGUGCGGCAUGCUUUACAGCUUAGAACCGGGGCUCCAAAAGCGUUUUGAGAAACACGGAGCAUAUGAGAUGUUCGAAGAGCUGAAAAUGGUUUUCCAAGCUCAUGCCCGGGUCGAGAGAUAUGAAGUCUCCGACAAGUUCUUCAGUUGUAAAAUGGAGGAAAAUAGUUCUGUCAGUGAGCACAUACUCAAAAUGUCUGGGUUACACAACCGCUUGUCUCAGCUGGGAGUUAAUCUCCCGGAUGACGCGGUCAUUGACAGAAUCCUUCAGUCGCUUCCACCGAGCUACAAGAGCUUUGUGAUGAACUUCAAUAUGCAGGGGAUGGAAAAGACCAUUCCUGAGGUAUAUUCAAUGCUGAAAUCAGCGGGGGUGGAGAUCAAAAAGGAACAUCAAGUGUUGAUGGUGAAUAAAACCACUAAGUUCAAGAAAGGCAAUGGUAAAAAGAACUUCAAGAAGGACGGCAAGGGAGUUGCCGCUCCCGGUAAGCCAGUUGCCGGGAAGAAGCCAAAGAAUGGACCCAAGCCUGAGACUGAGUGCUUUUAUUGCAAGGGAAGUGGUCACUGGAAGCGGAACUGCCCCAAAUACUUAGCGGACAAGAAGGCCGGCAACACCAAAGGUAUAUGUGAUAUACAUGUAAUUGAUGCAUACCUUACCAGUACUCGUAGUAGCUCCUGGGUAUUUGAUACCGGUGCGGUUGCUCAUAUUUAUAACUCAAAAUAGGAGCUGCGGAAUAAACGGAGACUGGCGAAGGACGAGGUGACGAUGCGCGUCGGGAAUGGUUCCAAGAUCGAUGUGAUCGCCGUCGGCACGCUACCUCUACAUUUACCUACGGGGUUAGUUUUAAACCUCAAUAAUUGUUAUUUAGUGCCAGCUUUGAGCAUGAACAUUGUAUCUGGAUCUCGUUUAAUGCGAGAUGGCUACUCAUUUAAAUCUGAGAAUAAUGGUUGUUCUAUUUAUAUGAGAGAUAUAUUUUAUGGUCAUGCCCCGCUGGUCAAUGGUUUAUUCUUAAUGAAUCUCGAACGUGAUGUUACACAUAUUCAUAGUGUGAAUACCAAAAGAUGUAAAGUUGAUAACGAUAGUCCCACAUACUUGUGGCACUGCCGCCUUGGUCACAUUGGUGUCAAGCGCAUGAAGAAGCUCCAUGCUGAUGGACUUUUGGAGUCUCUUGAUUACGAAUCAUUUGACACGUGCGAACCAUGCCUCAUGGGUAAGAUGACCAAGACUCCGUUCUCCGGAACAAUGGAGCGAGCAACCAACUUAUUGGAAAUCAUACAUACCGAUGUGUGCGGUCCAAUGAGUGUUGAGGCUCGCGGAGGCUAUCGUUAUGUUCUCACUCUCACUGAUGACUUGAGUAGAUAUGGGUAUGUUUACCUAAUGAAACACAAGUCUGAGACCUUUAAAAAGUUCAAGGAAUUUUAGAGUGAGGUUGAGAAUCAACGUGACAGGAAAAUAAAGUUCUUACGAUCAGAUCGUGGAGGAGAAUAUUUAAGUCACGAAUUUGGCACACACUUAAGGAAAUGUGGAAUAGUUUCACAACUCACGCCGCCUGGAACACCUCAGCGAAAUGGUGUGUCCGAACGUCGUAAUCGCACUCUAUUGGAUAUGGUGCGAUCUAUGAUGUCUCUUACCGAUCUACCGCUCUCAUUUUGGGGCUAUGCUUUAGAGACUGCCGCAUUCACUUUAAAUAGGGCUCCAUCGAAAUCCGUUGAGACAACACCGUAUGAAUUAUGGUUUGGGAAGAAACCUAGGCUGUCGUUUCUAAAAGUUUGGGGAUGCGAUGCUUAUGUCAAGAAACUUCAACCUGAAGCUCGAACCCAAAUCGGAAAAAUGCGUCUUCAUAGGAUACCCUAAGGAAACCAUUGGGUAUACCUUCUACCUCAGAUCCGAAGGCAUCUUCGUUGCCAAGAACGGGUCCUUUCUAGAGAAAGAGUUUCUCUCGAAAGAAAUAAGUGGGAGGAAAGUGGAACUUGAUGAGGUGAUAGUCACCCUUUCCGAACCGGAAAGUAGCACAGCGCGGGAAGAUGUUCCUGUGGUGCCUACACCGACUGGGGAGGAAGUUAAUGAUGAUGAUCAUGAAGCUUCGGAUCAAGUUACUGCUGAACUUCAUAGGUCCACAAGGACACGUUCCGCACCAGAGUGGUACGGCAACCCUGUCCUGGAAAUCAUGUUGUUAGACAACGGUGAACCUUCGAACUAUGAAGAAGCAAUGGCGGGCCCAGAUUCCAACAAAUGGCUUGAAGCCAUGCAAUCCGAGAUAGGAUCCAUGUAUGAAAACAAAGUGUGGACUUUGACAGACUUGCCCGAUGAUCGUCGAGCGAUAGAAAACAAAUGGAUCUUUAAGAAGAAGACGGACGCGGAUGGUAAUGUUACCAUCUAUAAAGCUCGACUUGUCGCUAAGGGUUAUCGACAAGUUCAAGGGGUUUACUACGAUGAGACUUUCUCACCCGUAGCGAAGCUGAAGUCCGUCCGAAUCAUGUUAGCAAUUGCCGCAUUCUAUGAUUAUGAGAUAUGGCAAAUGGACGUCAAAACGGCAUUCCUUAACGGCUUCCUUAAGGAAGAAUUGUAUACGAUGCAGCCGGAAGGUUUUGUCGAUCCUAAGAAUGCUGACAAAGUAUGCAAGCUCCAGCGCUCAAUCUAUGGGCUGGUGCAAGCAUCUCGGAGUUGGAACAUUCGCUUUGAUGAGAUGAUCAAAGCGUUUGGGUUUACACAGACUUAUGGAGAAGCCUGUGUUUACAAGAAAGUGAAUGGGAGCUCUGUAGCAUUUCUCUUAUUAUAUGUGGAUGACAUACUAUUGAUGGGAAAUGAUAUAGAAUUCUUGGAAAGUAUAAAGGCCUAUUUGAAUAAGUGUUUUUCAAUGAAGGACCUUGGAGAAGCUGCUUAUAUAUUAGGCAUCAAGAUCUAUAGAGAUAGAUCAAGACGCCUCAUUGGUCUUUCACAGAGUACGUACCUUGACAAGAUAUUGAAGAAGUUCAAUAUGGAUCAGUCCAAGAAGGGGUUCUUGCCUGUAUUGCAAGGUGUGCAAUUGAGCACGGCUCAAUGCCCGACCACGGCAGAAGAUAGAGAAAAGAUGAGUGUCAUCCCCUAUGCCUCGUCCAUAGGGUCUAUUGUGUAUGCCAUGCUGUGUACCAGACCUGAUGUAGACCUUGCCGUAAGUUUGGUAGGAAGGUACCAAAGUAAUCCCGGCAUGGAACACUGGACAGCGGUCAAGAAUAUCCUGAAGUACCUGAAAAGGACUAAGGAUAUGUUUCUCGUAUAUGGAGGUGACGAAGAGCUCGUCGUAAAGGGUUACGUCGACGCUAGCUUCGACACAGAUCUGGAUGACUCUAAGUCACAAACCGGAUACGUGUAUAUUUUGAAUGGAGGGGCAGUAAGCUGGUGCAGUUGCAAGCAAAGCGUCGUGGCGGGAUCUACAUGUGAAGCGGAGUACAUGGCGGCCUCAGAGGCAGCGCAAGAAGCAAUCUGGAUGAAGGAGUUCAUUAUUGACCUAGGGGUGAUUGCCAAUGCGUCGGGCCCGAUGACUCUCUUCUGUGACAACACUGGAGCUAUUGCCCUUGCCAAGGAGCCCAGGUUUCACAGGAAGACCAGGCAUAUCAAGCGUUGCUUCAACUCCAUUCGUGAAAGUGUUCAAAAUGGAGACAUAGAUAUUUGUAAAGUACAUACGGACCUGAAUGUAGCAGAUCCGUUGACUAAACCUCUCCCUAGAGCAAAACAUGAUCAACACCAGAACUCUAUGGGUGUUCGAUUCAUCACAAUGUAACUAGAUUAUUGACUCUAGUGCAAGUGGGAGACUGUUGGAAAUAUGCCCUAGAGGCAAUAAUAAAAUGGUUAUUAUUAUAUUUCCUUGUUCAUGAUAAUUGUCUAUUGUUCAUGCUAUAAUUGUGUUAUCCGGAAAUCGUAAUACAUGUGUGAAUACAUAGACCACAACGUGUCCCUAGUAAGCCUCUAGUUGACUAGCUCGUUGAUCAACAGAUAGUCAUGGUUUCCUGACUAUGGACAUUGGAUGUCAUUGAUAACGGGAUCACAUCAUUAGGAGAAUGAUGUGAUGGACAAGACCCAAUCCUAAGCAUAGCGCAAAGAUCGUGUAGUUCGUUUGCUAGAGCUUUUCCAAUGUCAAGUAUCUUUUCCUUAGACCAUGAGAUCGUGUAACUCCCGGAUGCCGUAGGAGUUCUUUGGGUGUACCAAACGUCACAACGUAACUGGGUGACUAUAAAGGUACACUACAGGUAUCUCUGAAAGUGUCUGUUGGGUUGACACGGAUCGAGAUUGGGAUUUGUCACUCCGUAUGAUGUAGAGGUAUCUCUGGGCCCACUCGGUAAUGCAUCAUCAUAAUGAGCUCAAUGUGACUAAGGAGUUAGCCACGGGAUCAUGCAUUACGGUACGAGUAAAGAGACUUGCCGGUAACGAGAUUGAACAGGGUAUUGGGAUACCGACGAUCGAAUCUCGGGCAAGUAACAUACCGAUUGACAAAGGGAAUUGUAUAUGGGAUUGAUUGAAUCCUCGACAUCGUGGUUCAUCCGAUGAGAUCAUCGAGGAACAUGUGGGAGCCAACAUGGGUAUCCAGAUCCCGCUGUUGGUUAUUGACCGGAGAGUCGUCUCGGUCAUGUCUGCAUGUCUCCCGAACCCGUAGGGUCUACACACUUAAGGUUCGGUGACGCUAGGGUUGUAGAGAUAUUAGUAUGCGGUAACCCAAAAGUUGUUCGGAGUCCCGGAUGAGAUCCCGGACGUCACGAGGAGUUCCAGAAUGGUCCGGAGGUGAAGAAUUAUAUAUAGGAAGUCCAGUUUCGGCCACCGAGAAAGUUUCGGGGGUUAUCGGUAUUGUACCGGGACCACCGGAAGGGUCCCGGGGGUCCACCGGGUGGGGCCACCUAUCCCGGAGGGCCUCAUGGGCUGAAGUGGGAAGGGAACCAGCCCUUAGUGGGCUGGGGCGCCCCCCUUGGGCCUCCCCCUGCGCCUAGGGUUGGAAACCCUAGGGGUGGGGGGCGCCCCACUUGGCUUGGGGGGCAAGCCACCCCCCUUGGCCUCCGCCCCCCCUCAGAUGGGAUCUCCAGGGGGCCGGCGCCCCCCCCCAGGACCCCUAUAAAUAGUGGGGGGAGGGCAGCAGCAAGACAGCCCCUGGCGCCUCCCUCUCCCUCCCGUGACACCUCUCCCUCCCGUUUGCGCUUGGCGAAGCCCUGCCGGGAUCCCCGCUACUUCCACCACCACGCCGUCGUGCUGCUGGAUCUCCAUCAACCUCUCCUUCCCCCUUGCUGGAUCAAGAAGGAGGAGAUGUUGCUGCUCCGGACGUGUGUUGAACGCGGAGGUGCCGUCCGUUCGGCGCUCGGUCAUCGGUGAUUUGGAUCACGACGAGUACGACUCCAUCAACCCCGUUCACUUGAACGCUUCCGCUCGCGAUCUACAAGGGUAUGUAGAUGCACUCCUUCCCUCUCGUUGCUAGUAAACUCCAUAGAUGGAUCUUGGUGAUGCGUAGAAAAUUUUAAAAUUCUGCAACGAUCCCCAACAGUAGGCCUCUCCCACCAUCUUCGAGAAGCAACUCCAUCACCCAUCCAGCACUCUACCCCUCUCCCUCCCUCUCCCUCCCUCUCUCUCUCCUCUCUCUCUCUCUCUGUCCCAUCAUAUUUCCCGUCCUUCAGUUAUGUAUGGAUGUCGACCGAUCUCCCUCAAGACAUAGCUGGGUCUCUCCUUCUCAACACAUAUACGAGUCGUUCUACCUCUAUAGUUAGGCCUAUGCCUACCCCUCCCCCCACCCCCCCUCCCCCCCACACACACCGAUACAUCGAGCGCUCUAGUCAUGUCUCCCUGCCACACACAAACUUGACAUGUGCCCUCUAACGUUCCGGUAGGCCAGUCACCCUAUAUCUUUGACUUGCACACACACACAAUAUCGAUGGCUCUCUUCAUCGAUCUCGCACCCACCCACUUGAUCCUCUCUUCGACUCUAUCGAUAGCUAUGACCGCUCCCUCUGUUCUCGUGGAUUGCCUGACCCUCUAUGUAUGAUAUGGAUAGGCCUCCAUUUCACACACAUUGCAUGCAAAAUUUUGUUUGAGAUGUCAUCGACACAUAUUCCCACAAAUAAUUCACGAAAUCAACCCCCCACCCCACCCCCACCCCAAAACAAAAAACACUCACGAACGCGGUUUGUAUCUCUCACACACACCCACAUAGGUGGGGGACGAGCACGAAGAGAAGAGGUACAUGCAUGGCGCACGUACUCCCGUCUCUUUCCCAACCACACCCACGCGGGUACAUGGUGGAGCUCAUUUCUGUACAAAAAAGGCAGCCCACGUGGUAAUUUGGCACGUGUACUGGUUGUCCACUUGGUGGAGGGAGGAUCGUCUACCACGGGUGAACAAACAAAUUGCGACUUGGCGUGUUAUGUUAAAAAAAGAGGCAAACCAUGUGGGGCCUACCUUAGAGGCAAGGCUCUAUACACUGGAGUACUUUUGAUGUGUCCCGUCAACUCGCAGAACGAGGAGAAGCUUCCUCAGUACGUCGUCUCCCCCGCCCAUGGGCGCGGUGGCUCGCAGGAUGAGGUGAAGCUUGCUCCGCCUUACGCCCGCUCCCUCGCCCAUGCGCGCGGUGGCUCGCAGGAGGAGGAGAAAAAUUUACUACUCCCUCCGUUUACUCCUCGUCCCUACUACCUUGGUUAUAGAGAUUAUAUCAUAUUGUUUGGAAUAUAUAUGCCCUUUAGUAGAUUUCAAUAUGAACUACUAGUACAUACUCCAAACACUGAUGUAUAUAUACGUAUUUUAGAGUGUAGAUUCACUCAUUUUGCUCCGCAUGUAGCACUCUCCCUCGCCCCUCGACCCUCGCCCACAUGGUGGACGUGCAGCAAUUCAUUCGGUCUCAUAUAGCCAGAACGAUAUAUACUGCACUACCAUUAUUGCUCGACUUCCCGAAGAGGCGAAGAGCCAAUCGCAAGGUUAAUAUUUUGGAGAUGCCAAGCGCAAGGUUAUAGGAGAACGAGUAGUAGGUGCCGCGUCAUUUAUAAAUAAAGUUUUUUUUCUUCAGUGGCACGUACACAAUAUGAUAGGUUCAUAUGGAGAGAAAAGGAAACCGCUCCACUAUAUACAUAGUCAGGACGGGCCAGCCUACACGGUUGCUUGCUGGGGUUGCUCUCUUCACACUCUCACGCACAAAACGACUGUGGCCACAUCUCUAACAUCCCGGCGGAUCACGUCCGCUUGGGGAAGGGGUGGAUGCUUAGUGUAGAUGCGGUGGCCGUCGCCGACGGUGAAGACCCACUGUCGGCACGUCCCGAUCAGGGGUCCCCGCCAUUCUCUCUCACAAAGCCGGUGAGGUUGCCUUCGUCCCUUGCUCACUGCCGCGACGUGGGCAGUUGCCGCCUCCCGCCGCCCUCCUCGAGGUUGAGCUACGUCCCUCAGGUACAACUCCCUUUACAGCCGGCUUGCACCACUGCUCCAGCUGCCCACAUCACUCCCUGUGGAUAUUUCUCUACUUCUUUGCCCCGCACAUACCUCUACUGGCUUCUACGUACUGUAUUUGUGAUGAGUUUAUGUCUCAUCAACUAGUCCCAGUAAUCUUAUUCUAAUCACGCUUCUUCAAUUUCUUUGCCACACGGAUGCUCAUCUCGAUUUUGGUGAAACUGCACAAAAUGAUCCGAUGGUCAAAAGGUUGCAAACUUCAUUUAUUAGGAAGCUCGAACAUUGCCAGCAAAUUGAAGCCUAGUCAGGGUUCACGGUUCAAGGGCUAGGGACUGCAUGGAUCGUUUUUUUCUUUAGCUGCCUCUGUUCCAAAAUAAGUGUCAACUUUAGUAGUAGUACAACUUUGUACUAAAGUUUGCACAAAGUUGAGACACUUAUUUUGGAACGGAGGGAGUACAUAUUUGCUAUGAUCUGUCAAUCAUUGAGAUGCAAUAGCAUGCAUGUUAGUCUCCUUUGUAUUUGAUGAAAUGUUGCAACGGGCAACCUUGGACGCAAGAUACAUGUAACAGAAGCUGGAAGCUUCAUAGCAUUGUACAAAUUUAUCUCGCUGAUAAAUUACAGUACGUACUAUACUAGUACUUCCUUCGUUCCUAAAUAUAAGUCUUUGUAGAGAUUUCACCAUGAACCACAUGCGGAUGUAUAUAGAUGCAUUUUAAGUGUAGAUUCAUUCAUUUUGUUCCGUAUGUAGUGGAAUCUCUACAAAGACUUAUCUACUAGUAAUAGCUAGCCCCCACUACUAGGGAUUCUCUAUCCUCUCCUUGAGCCACAUCAUCAAAAUUGAUGUAGCCGUUAGAUGAAGUAAAUCAGUCCAUAAUAGCUGUCUGAUCUAGACGUUGAGAGGCUCUGCACUAAGCCACAUGCAAGCAUGCAGAAAUACCGUCGCACAUGCAUGUGAGUGGGUUUUAAAUCACAUCAACAUGUCUGCAUGCAAGCAUGCACCGGUAGCAUGCAUGUAAGUGAGCUUUUAAGUCCCAUUAACAUGUCAAAAAGAAAAAUAUAAUCCCAUUAUGCAGUAGGAGUUGGCUGAUCUUUUUUCCUUACGUGGGAUGGUCUAAAUGAUGAUGGGAGUUUAUUUAGUUUGGCUACCACAUUUGUCAUGCGGUUAUAGAGUUUUUUUAGUUCUAUGAAAUCGAUAAUUUUGCGCAGAGAGAUAUACCGCUGUUCCGCGGCAACGCGCGGGGACUCAUCUAGUAAUAUUUAGGAACGGAGGGAGUACUAUGUAAAGAGUUAGGUGUCGCACGGUGAUAGUGUGAGGUGGGCCAUGUAAUCACUGAGCCUGCGUGUUUUCACUGCUCUUGCACGCCUCCGCUGUAAGAAUGGAGAAAAUUGUAAUCUAGUAGUAGUACCUCCUUUCGCCGAAAGCGUGGGACAUCCAGCAGUCCUACCACCUCAGUAAUAAAGACCAAUGAGCCGUCAAAUCACAUAGACCCAGCAGUAAGUUGGACGGACGAAGCAACCAUCACUCUUGCGCCAGUGAGAGGUCGCGUCCGCUCUGCCCGGGCAUGAAUGUGGCACCGAUUCUUUGGAGCAGCGCUGACCGUUUCGGGCGGGAAGAGCGCGCGAGCGAUGGAGGGGCUUUGGGUGGGCCAGGCUGGUCAGGAGCGGGCGUCGCAGCUGUCCGCAUGUCCCUACCGGACACGCCCGGAAACGAGAGGAUGCACCGACUCUCGCGGCUAAAAUCGUACACUACACAACAUCUCUCUGUAGGAGUAGGUCGAUAUGUCGCUCUCUCUAACACACACAUGCUGUUAAACACACACACACACGCAUGCACACGCACGCACCUUGGUCCCGUUGCACCUUCUAACGUGACUUAUUACACCUAGACGGAGGGAGUAGUAAGUAUACGAGAUACGGUGGCACACUCUUAAGUCGAAUACAAGUGCCCAAAAUUUGUGUGCAUGUUAUAAUAAGGAUUCACUUAAAAUAGUACGUGAGCGAACAGAGGGAUCAAUUGGACAGUGUUCCCGAGCAGUAGCGAGAUGUGUGAGGUAAGAUACACCGCUGGCGCUUUUAAUUUUUCUUAUUAAUUUGUUUGUUUCACCCUCUGACUGGUGGGACCCAACGUACUACGUGGAGAGAGGUAAGGUGACUAAGGCUGCAUUAUUUCUGCACCACUGUGGAUAGUCUUACCACCAAAGCCACAUGACACGAUUAUGAUUGAAAUCCCAAUGACUCCCACACACACACAAAAAACACGGCAUGCUUGUCACACGAAUGCAGGAAUGUAUAAAAGGUUAUUUCCCUCUCGUUAAACAUAACGAGAGGGUUGUGUAGCUGGUUAGCCUGUUCGCUCAUCAAACUUGAGGUCUCGGGUUCGAUAACUACACUUGAGCAUAAUUUGUGCCAGGAGGAUUCUUUGACUGGUCAGAAUGUUUUCUAGGGUUUGCACGCUUCACACUCUCUCUCCAGUAUAUAUAUACACGCUGGAGCCUCAGCGCUUGUAGUUGCUCUCUUCACACUCUCUCGCCCUCAGCGCUUGUAGUUGCUCUCUUCACACUCUCUCACCCUCUCCAGAUCUAAACAAGACUUCAUUGGCCUCUCUCUCCCCUCACUGCUGCUCAAAGAGCUGGCAGGAUCCGUCCGCCGGGAAGGGAAGGAGGCUUAAUGAUGUCGCCGUCGGCGAGGGACUACCGGCGCAGCUGUUCACUUUCCACCCAGCGGCGGCGCGGGAGGGCCUCCGACCCCUUCUUCUUCGCCGCCGUCCCGUCGCCCACCGAACCACGCCCCAAGAACCUUAAGGUAUAAUUUACUUACUCCACAUGCAUUGCUCUAGCUGCAUGUAUACCAUGAAUCUAGGACGUGGUUCAAAGAGGAAAGGAGUGGGGGAAAGUAGUGGGAAAAGUUGUAUAUAGCAUGAAUCUAGGACGUGGUUCAAAGAGGAAAUGAAGGGGGAAAGUUGUAUAGCAUGAAUCUAGGACGUGGUUCAAAGAGGAAAGGAAUGGGGGAAAGUAGUGGGGAAAGUUGUAUCGCAUAAAUCUAGGACGUGGUUCAAAGAGGAAAGGAAGGGGCGAAAGUACUAGUUCAAAAAGGAAAGGAAGGGACAAGGCAGUAGAGUUUGAGCAGGACUAGAUUUGUUGCGCUCACAUAGGGAAAGGUGUCUAAAGAUAACAAAACUGGGACCAACACAAAUAUGCUCCUUGGUUGUUUGUUCUUUGUUGCAACAGACUGUGCAUGACCACAGUACAUCGGUAGAUGCACAUGGUGCUGGUGCGUCCACUGUCCCGUGCAACUCAUUAGUUGUUGUUAAUCUAAGGCCCUAUUUGGUUAAAAACUCCCUAGUCCCUACCUGCUUGGUUCCAGGGACUAAACAUGGACUAGAGGUUAUUAAAUGACAUGCUAAAAGACCAUGUUACCCCUAGUAAUGAACUAAUAGAGACAAGGUGCGAUGCGUGGCAGGGGCAACUGUUGGAAAAAGUCCCAAAAAGACUCCCUCAGGGUCUUCUUUCUUUAGUCCCAAAUGCGCACUUUUAGUCCCUAAAACUCCCUCCUGUUUGGUUUAGAUGGGACUGACACGGAGAUUUUUUAGUCCCUACACCAAAAUGUCCCUGUAAACAAACACCCUCUAAUAAUGCCGCUGGAAAAUUGAUGCAAUGCCACAGUUAAAAGCAAAUUACAUGUUUAACGAAUUUUAUUGUUAAUAUAAUCUCUAUGUUAAUAUUAAUCAAUGCCACUGUUUGAGAAAUGCUAUUGUCUUGCUUUCUUUCCCAUUUAGAUAAGGUAGAUGCUUCUUUUUGUUGGCUUCUGUGUCAUCCACCGUUAUUGACCACUAAUUGUUUCCUUUGCACCUUGUUGUAAACAGGGUUAUCUACUUCACCUCGUUGCCAUUGUGACCUUUUGUUGCACUGCACAAAACACUUUUGUUUUAAGAGUGUUUUGUGCAGUUCAACCAAAAUGUCACACCGACAACGUUGCUUGAUUGCUUGAUCUUAGUGGAACUGCACAAGAGGAGAUCUUACUUCCUAUCCGUUAAGGCGAAUUUGGUUCAGAUCUUCUUCUUGUGAGUUCUUUGAAUUCCGCAUCAUGAGAGGUCGGUACUAGCCUUCUUUCACAUGAUUCUACAGUGUGCUUUCAUAUGUUGUGCUACUUGUAUGAUAAUGUUGCUUGAUUUUAGUUAACUGCACAAAUGGAGACAAGACUUCCAAUCUGUAUGUGCACCGUAAUAUCCCAUUGAGGUAAGAUAAGGAUAUUUCACAACUGCUGGCCUGUAUUUUGCCACUUUCAUCAGAAAAUUAAGUUUAGUACUAUACUUGUGCUCCCUAAUUGACAUGCCAAAUCUUACAUUGAAGGCGAAGCUUGUCUGUUAUUGAACCAAGUGAUGAAGGGGAAGAACAAGCGGAAGAAAAACAAAAAUCAACUCCCAGUGAUGUAAUGAAGCACUGGAACUGUGAUGACACAAGUAAUGAUAUAGUUUUGCAUCUUAAUUUAUUGCUAUGGCUGGAACGAGCAAUUGUUUUGCCACUGAUUUGAUGCCACUCUUAAUGUAAUAUGUAAUUAUCUCUACUUGUGUAAACAGGGAUCUUCUUUGAAGAUACCAUAUAUUUUAGUGGAACUGCACAAGAAGAUGUUGGAAACAUUAAACUAAUCGAGGAGUAUAUAGUAAGCAUGGCCACCACCGUAGAUAGCAACAGAUGGUUCCGGAGAAGUGCUUCAUCUGUAUGCUCUACACAAUAAGCCUCCUGACAAAGGUUGGUACUCGCCCAUUGAUUUCAUCCAUAUGAUUGAGCUUUGUCAUCUCUAUUGGUGUUGUGCUACUGUUUAGAUACUGUCAUGAAAAAGUGGUAUUGUCCUUGAGAAGUGCUUCAUAUGUGCUCUGUUUUAAAUAUUUCCUUUCCUUUUUUUCGAGCAAACAGGGAUGCUAGCAUUUAGUAGUCCUCUUGUCUUUGCACAACAGGAUCAUCUUCCUCUGAAGAAGAAUAUGGAGUACGUGAAGUGACUAGUUCCGAUUAUGCCAGGAUGAAGAAGCCCUGUCUAUCUUCUCAUCAGAAGGAGUAGUUGAAGGAUGGUUACAUUACUCCCCACAAGACCAAACUAACUUCAGCUCAGAAGGACUGACAAAUCUCCAUAUUUUUGCUGUGAUGCGUGAGUACAAUGUUGUUCUAGGAUUCUUUCCGGUGAGUUCCAUUUUUCUAAAAGUGUGCUCUACAUGGACCAUGUAUGUGCCUGUUGAAACUGUCAAUUCAUAGUACAGUUUGCUUUAUACUAAUCACUUUUUUGUAUGUGUGCAAACAGGGGUGCUCAGCUUGAUUUCAAUGGGAACUGCACAAAAUGUUCAUGAAUACAUCGAAUCAUUCAUUUCCACCACAAGAAAGGAGGUGCCCAUAAGUUCAAGGCGUUGCAACAUAUAAGGGCGAAAUCAUACAAGCUAUGUGCGAAUUUGGUUGAUUUUGGUGGAACUGCACAAAAAGAACAGCUGGUUUAUUUAGCACGAGGUGCCAUGUCAAUGUCCGAACUGAUGGCAAACCCUGCCCAUUCCACAAUCGUAGGCAUUUGAUAUUUUGGAAUGGGACAACCUUGUCAAAUGUUGCUCAUUGAUUUUAGCAAGACAUGCGUUUGAUAUUUUCGAAUGGGACGCCCUUUGCUGUCAGCAGCGUCGAUCAAUUUUUUCUUUAUUCUUUAGUUGUGAAGUAAAUAUUGCCUCUGACAUGUGAGUCGCUGAGAUGCAUAAUCAUCGAUUGUUUUGAAUGUUCUCUAUGAAUUGUCAGGCCUGUGUGUUUGAUUGCAAUGUACAGAAACGCUAAAAAGCUGCUCAAACUCUUUGUGCUCCUUCUGUUCCUUUGUACUUCGCACAUUGUGAAAGUGCAUACUUUUUUGUAUAAGAUUGGUCAAAGUAGAGAUACUUUGACUGCAGACAAAACUUGUAUGCACGGCUAGAAAGGACCGGAGGGAGUACAUGUGAAACUGCUGCAAACGAGGUGAUCACCCUGGGAAUAAUGCUAGUACGUAUUGUUUUGCAUGUUCAUCCAAUGCCAGUGAUACAGGAAUUCGAACUAAUCAAAAUAAAUUCAUUCAUACACGGUCGGAUUUCAUAUAAACAUGCCGGAUUUCAUUACAUUUCAUACAUUCUUCAACUAAAAAGGGGUGCGCUGGAGGUAUAAUUAAUUAACCGAAGCUACCCACCUGUGUCCCGCUGAGCCGAACAGAAGCUUCAGUGACUUAACUCCAGGUGCAGUUGCGUAACUGACAUGUGGCCUGUUGGGCCCAUGUGUCAGUCAGCCAACUGCACCAGCAGUUAAGUAGAAGCAGCGUUCUUCUCCAGCACAGCUCUCCGACUCCACGUCGCCGCCAAGAAGCUAACCGGCCGUCAAUGGUCAACCCGCCUAGCUUGGCUUCAACCGGAGGGUAGCAGCGGUGGCCUUACUUGGACCCGAGCGGCGGCGACCUACCGUGUUCUACUCUUCCUCGUUCUCUGUGUGGUGCGGCCUCGUUGGCAGCGGGGCGGGGCCUCGGCGGAGCCGGCGAUGUCCUCUGUCUCGUUGCUGGCGGGCGGCGCCUUAGUGGAGUGGUGGAAAUCCUCCCCCACGUUGCCGGCAGGGUGGGGCCUCGGCUGAGCCGGCGAUGUCCUCUGCCUCGUUGUUGGCGGGGCGGGGCCUCGGCGGAGCCGGAGGUGUCCUCUGCCUCGUUGUUGGCACCGCGGGGCCUCGGCGGAGUAGGGCCUCGUCGACGCCAGCGGAGCGGGGACUCGUUGGAGCCAGCAUUGUCCUCUGCCUCAUCCUCGGUCUCGCCAAACAGCGCCUCGCCCGCUUCAUCGCCCUCUUUGCUAGCCUCUUUGUAGGCGGCUGCAGCCUCCGCCACCCACAUGCGGUACCUCCAGCGCUCGAGGCGGCCCUUGCGGGCGGAGUGGUACGAGUCGAGCAACGCCUCCUGCUCCGCCCGCUCCGCGGUGAUCUGCUUCUCCACUUGCAGGUGCUCCUGGAGGAGAUGGUGGUUGUAGGCGGCAUCGGCCUGCGCCUCCCGGAACUGCUCCUCACGCAUCUGCCUCACCCUGUCCAUAUAUUGGGCACGGGCCUCGCUGAUGGUCAUGGUGCAAUGCACCGGCGAGGAUGGCGCGGAGGAGGGGGUUGGUGCCAGAUCGUUGACUACCAUGUUCUCCAUUGGGACGUCGUCGUCCUCCGGCUGCCUGCCGGCCAGCCGGUCGGCAGCAAUGGCUGCCAUCUCCUUGUGGUCCAUCGUCCGCCCGUCCCGAAGAGCGCUGGAGCGCGAGGAAGCCAUGGUGGGUAGUAGUGGUGUGGACAGGAGAAACGGAACGGAUGCGGAUGACUGCGGCUAUGGCCGGCGCAGCAGUUUAUAUAGCAAUGGUGGUCGGGCGGAGGGACGGACGUGUGGCGCCGGAGUAGCCGCCUCGGCAACCGCGUAUCAUUAAUGUGGGCGGCAGAUGGACGGAUGGACGACACUUGUGUCGUUUGAAGGCGGAGCAAUCGCCUGCACCGGGAAGUGGGGCGGGCGGCGCUGACUAUUUCGGGCGGAAAGCGCGCGCGGGCGAGGAGAUGACUUUACUUGGAGAGGAUGACAAUGGGGACCCACCAGGUCCAUAGCCUCACGUAUGCAAGUGCCUCCUUAUUAUAUAUAUAUAUAUAACUAUAAUUUAUUUUGCUUCCUCCUGGUUUCCUGACGUCACGGUCCCACACCAUUGUCAACCUAUGUAGUAGUCAAUAAACAAGAGAAUUGCACAAGAAGCGGCCGACAGCUGGGACCAAGCAGCUCGAGCAGUAUUUGUGUUUUUGAGGUGUGAGCACUGCAGAGUUUUUCGAUGUUUAGCCCAGAUAUUAAUUUUUCUCCUCUGAACAACAACGAAAACAUCGCUGCAUGUAUUAACUGGGCAGGCUGUGGCCCGUCUAGCCCAGGCCAGAUAUCCAGCCCAGAUAUUAAUUUUUUUCAAGCUGAAAAUGGCUAGCCCAGCUAUACUUUUUUUAGGAAUACCCAGGCAAGGUCAAGUUGUUAUUCUCCGCCCCGCUGGGCUGCAAAUCUUUCCUAGGAGGGAUGCAUUAGGCUUAACAAGAAAAUGGGCUUUAAGAAAUAAUAAAUGGGAUGUAAUUAUAAAAACUGGGCAGUAACUAUAAAAAAAUGCACCAAACACGUGAUUACUUUAUAAAAUAUUAUUUUUGGAUAUUGAAAAUUUUAAUUUCAUUAAUUGUUGCGAGCGCAAUGUUUUGUUGGAUUUUUACGUAAUAUAAAUUUAUAUUGAAAUUGUAUUUAAUCUGACUAGAAAUUCCGGGAUAAAAAUAUUUCAGAUCCCAUCAAAAUGUGGGAAAUUUUAUUGAAUUCUGUUUUGAACGGUUGGUUGAAAUGGGUUGUACUUUUAACAAACUGUAAAUGGGCUGUAGUAAAUUCCAUUAGAAUUCAAAAAUGGGCUACACAUUCUUACAAAUCUCAAAUGGGCUAUAAGUUCUCUGCCACACACUUCUGGCCUUACUAAGUUGACGCGUCCCCUAAAAAAACAGAGUUGACGCGUAUGCAAGGCUUUGUCAACUUAUAGUCAACACACGGUUCUAGCAGCAGUGGCCGUUGGAUGUCCAUCCAACGGAUGCCAUGCUUCUUCUUCAAUCUCGGAUAUUCUAGCUUCACCCGCCCAAAAAAUGAUUCCUCCCCCUGACAUCUAGGGCGCACCGUUUCGGAAGCUGACCUGUGGGCCUACUAAGUUGACGUACCAAGGGCUUUGUCAACUUAGUCAAUAUAAACGAUUCUAGCUGCAGUGACCGUACGAUGUCCAUCCAACGGCCGCCGUGCUUCUUCAACCUCUGGUCUUCUUGCUCCAGCCGCCCAAAGCAGCGCCGGUCGUGCCGCCUGCUCCUGCCUCCCGUGGCCAGCUGUGCUGCCGCGGAGGCCUCACCGCCCCCUACCACUCCCACCGCUGGUCAGGCCAUCCCUCCACUCACCCACACCCCCUGUUAUUCUGCGGCGAUGGCAGCGCAGCCGAACCAGUGAACCCUCGUACUCCUCUCCGCGUGUGCAUCCACUGUCGCGUCUUCCUCGGCUCCGCGUCGUCCCCUUCCUAGGCCUCGCCGUCAUCCACCGCCCUGGUGCUCUCGGCGCGGCGUGGUCAACGUGGUCAAGGAACGACUUCCAUCGGACGUGGACUAUAUGUGUAGAGGCUGACAACUGGGUCCACGGCAGUCGCAAGGAAGUGCCUCCUUAUUACGCGCAAAAUAAUUAUUCCUCCACCUGACAGCGGGGACCCACCGGACGGGCCACCGUAUUUUGCGAAAAAAAAUGAUUAGCCCCCUGACUGCUGGGACCCACGAGCUACAUCUUCGCACGCAAGGAAGUGCGUCCGGGAAAAAAACGAUUCGCCCCCCUGACUGCUGGGACCCACCAGCUACAUCUUCGCACGCAAGGAAGUGCGUCCGGAAAAAACGAUUCGCCCCNNNNNNNNNNNNNNNNNNNNNNNNNNNNNNNNNNNNNNNNNNNNNNNNNNNNNNNNNNNNNNNNNNNNNNNNNNNNNNNNNNNNNNNNNNNGAUUCGCCCCCCGACUGCUAGGACCCACCAGCUACACCUUCGCACGCAAGGAAGUGCGUCCGGGCAAAAAAAAGAUUCGCCCCCUGACUGCUGGGACCCAGCAGCUACACCUUCGCAUGCAAGGAAGUGCGUCCGGGCAAAAAAAACAAAACGAUCCGCACCCCUGACUGCUGGGACCCACCAGCUACAUCUUCGCAGGCAAGGAAGUGCCUGACAGUCAGGACCCACCUGGUCGAAGCGUACGUAGCGUUGUCAUUCUGGUCGCGAACGUGUACGUACAUACUGGUCGAUGUAGAGGCGCGUACGUGUCAUAGUAGAGGCGCGCACAUGUCAUAGUAGAGGCGCGCACGUAGCAUGUACACGUACGUACAGCGGCCAGGGUGCAAGAAAGAAAAUACGGCCACGUAUGUGUACAUACGGGCAGGGUCUCGAACGCCUACUCGCACAUACGUACGGCCAGGGCUCGUGCACAUGGCUGGGUCGGAACGGAGAAAUAACGUUGUCGUCGUGUUCAUGGGGAGGCAAUGGAAUGUGUCAUGUUCAUGGGGAGGCAAUGGAAUGUGUCAUGUUCAUGGGGAGGCAACGGAAUGCGUCGUGUUCAUGGGGAGGCAACGGAAUGCGUCGUGUUCAUCGGGAGGCAACGGAAUGCGUCGUGUUCAUCGGGAGGCAACGGAACGCGUGGGAGCCAACCGGCUGGGUCGGAACGGAAUGCGUGGUCGUGUUCAUCGGGAGGGCUUGGACGGAACAGGCGAUGGAAACGAGGCCUGGCGUACCGCAGAACGGAGGAAACGGACCUCCUACAUUCGGAACGGGGUCCUGUUGAUCGGAAGGGGUCUGGUGUACCGCAAAACGGAGGAAACGGACCUCCUACGGUCGAAACAGGGGUCCUGUUGAUCGGGAGGGGUGUGGCGUACCGCAAAACGGACGAAACGGACCUCCUACGGUCGAAACGGGGGUCCUGUUGAUCGGGAGGGGUGUGGCGUACCGCAAAACGGACGAAACGGACCUCCUACGGUCGAAACGGGGGUCCUGUUCAUCGGGAGGGGUGUGACGUACCGCAAAACGGGACACCACGGGAUACUGUUCAUCUCCANNNNNNNNNNNNNNNNNNNNNNNNNNNNNNNNNNNNNNNNNNNNNNNNNNNNNNNNNNNNNNNNNNNNNNNNNNNNNNNNNNNNNNNNNNNNNNNNNNNNNNNNNNNNNNNNNNNNNNNNNNNNNNNNNNNNNNNNNNNNNNNNNNNNNNNNNNNNNNNNNNNNNNNNNNNNNNNNNNNNNNNNNNNNNNNNNNNNNNNNNNNNNNNNNNNNNNNNCCUGGCGUACCGCAGAACGGAGGAAACGGACCUCCUACAUUCGGAACGGGGUCCUGUUGAUCGGAAGGGGUCUGGUGUACCGCAAAACGGAGGAAACGGACCUCCUACGGUCGAAACGGGGGUCCUGUUGAUCGGGAGGGGUGUGGCGUACCGCAAAACGGACGAAACGGACCUCCUACGGUCGAAACGGGGGUCCUGUUCAUCGGGAGGGGUGUGACGUACCGCAAAACGGGACACCACGGGAUACUGUUCAUCUCCACCGUCGACCUCCUCUAGCCUCCAUGGGCUACCGUCGACCUCCUCCAGCCUCCACGGGCUACCGUCGACCUCCUCUAGCCUCCACGGGCUCCUGUUCAUCCAGCCUCCACCGCGCGCUACUCCACCGGCUACUGUUCAACCACCCCUCCACGGGCACCCCUCCAUCGUCUAAUGUUCAUCCAGCCCUCCACACCACGGGGUCCUGUUCAACCACCCCUCCACGGGCACCCCUCCACCGUCUACUGUUCAUCCAGCCCUCCACCACACCACGGGGUCCUGUUCAUCCAGAGGCAAUGCCACCGCUCACUGUUCAUCCAACCCCCCCUGCAACGCUCACUGUUCAUCCAAUCGAUCGGCUUCAGUUAGCAGCAGUAGCGAAGGAAUCGCUCGAUCGGGUUCAGUUAACAGCCAUCGAUCGAUCGCUCGGGUUCAGUAACACGUAGCCUGCAGUGCAAUCGCUCGGGUUCAGUUAGAGCCCAACGCCUCGCUCGGGUUCAGUUAGAGCCAACGCCUCGCACACACGCGUGUACGUAUACAAGAGAAACGCGCAUCGCUCGGCCCCCGACCUCCCACCGUAAUCGGGAACUCCCCGAAAUUUUCCUCCCCCUCGCUUCUACCACGGUUUUUCCCGUCAUGGACGGCCCAAAGAAUGUCAUGCAGCUGCGUCUCCGGCCCGCCCAGGACGAAAAGCCCAUUUUCUGUCAUGAUUUUUUGUCAUAGAAGUAGGAGCCCACCACAUCUAUGAUGAUACCGGGUUUUGUCACAAUUAUCGUCAUAGAAGUGUCAUAUGUAUGACAGGAAAUUUUUUCGUUCGGCCCAAAAUGUCACGGAUGUGUCUUUUUUUUGUAGUGCAAGUGGAGCAAAGUGGUACUUGUGAUGUAGGUGAUGAAAUUCCUCCCCAAGCCAUAAGAAGAAUGGGUGUUGGCUUUAUCCUACCCAUUGAGGAACCCCUUGUGUCUGAAGGAGGAGGACAAUGUUCCACUCAAGUGGAACCAUCACCAACUCAAGACCCAUACGCUUCCGAAGAACAAAGUGAAGGCCCUCAACCUCAUGAACAAGAUCAAGGGCAAGAUCAACCUCAAGAUGGUGGUGAACCACCAAGUGAUGCCCAAGAUCAAGUUCUCUCCUCCGAGCUAGUUCAAGAUCAAGAACAAGCUCAAGACGACGCUCAAGAUGAUCAAGUUUCCACUCCUCAACUCACUCCUAAGGAGGAAUUGGAGCGUCGUGCCGCUAAGAUUGCAUCCAAGCUCUCCACCAAAGAUCAUCUCAUGACAAAUGUGCUUGGAAGCUUAAGGAAGGGGGUAAGCACUCAUAGACAAUUAGCAAACUAUUAUGAACAUCACGCGUUUGUCUCUUGUGUUGAACCCCAAAAGGUCUAUGAGGUGCUCGAGGAUCCGGAUUGGCUUAAUGCCAUGCAUGAAGAACUCAACAACUUCAAGCACAACAAGGUGUGGAGAUUGGUGCCAAGGCCAACGGGGAACCAUAAUGUCACUGGAACCAAGUGGAUAUUCAAGAACAAGCAAGAUGCUCGUGGAAUUUUAGUUCGCAACAAGGCUCGUUUGGUAGCACAAGGCUACUCCCAAGUCGAGGGUAUCGACUACGGUGAAACCUUUGCUCCCGUUGCUCGCCUUGAAUCCAUUCGUUUGUUGAUUGCUUAUGCUUCUCAUCAUAACUUUAAGUUGCAACAAAUGGAUGUGAAGAGUGCUUUUCUUAAUGGUCCUAUUAAUGAGUUGGUGUAUGUCAAGCAACCCCCCGGGUUCGAGGAUCCCUAUUUUCCCGAUCAUGUGUACCAACUCGAUAAGGCACUCUAUGGCCUUAAACAAGCCCCACGUGUGUGGUAUGACCACCUUACCAAGUUUUUGCAAGAUCGUGGUUUUGAAAUUGGGAAAAUCGACCCCACUCUUUUUACUAAGAAGGUCAAAGGGGAGUUGUUUGUGUGCCAACUAUAUGUUGAUGAUAUUAUCUUUGGUUCCCCUAACAAAGCUUUCAAUGAGGAAUUUGCCGCUCUCAUGACCUCCAAGUUCAAGAUGUCCAUGAUGCGAGAGUUGAAAUUCUUUCUCGGGUUCGAAGUCAAGCAAAGAAGAGAAGGAACCUUCAUCAACCAAGACAAAUACACUCAAGACAUGCUCAAGAGAUUCAAGCUAAGUGAUGUCAAGCCGGCUUCCACUCCAAUGCCCGUCAAAUGCCAACUUGACAUAGAUCCCAAUGGUAAAGCGGUGGAUCAAAAGGUAUAUCGCUCCAUGAUUGGCUCCUUGCUCUACCUUUGUGCAUCUAGACCGGAUAUCAUGUUGAGUGUGGGAAUUUGUGCAUGGUUUCAAGCCGCACCUAAGGAAAGCCACUUUGUGGCGGUCAAGCGAAUCUUUUGAUAUUUGGCUCAUACCCCAAACUUUGGCUUAUGGUAUCCAAGAGGAUCUAACUUCAACCUUAUGGGCUAUUCGGACUCCAAUUGGGCGGGAGACAAAGUGGAUAGGAAGUCCACUUCCGGAGGGUGCCAAUUCCUUGGUUGUUCUUUGGUGAGUUGGUCUUCCAAGAAGCAAAGUUGUGUGUCUCUCUCGUCCACCGAAGCGGAGUAUGUGGCCGCCGGUAGUUGUUGUGCACAACUUCUAUGGAUGAGGCAAACUUUAAAGGAUUACAGUGUCAUUUGUGACAAAGUGCCUCUUUGGUGUGACAAUGAAAGUGCCAUCAAGAUUUCUCUCAACCCGGUUCAACACUUCAAGACGAAGCAUAUUGAGAUUCGGUAUCACUUCAUCCGGGAUCACAUUAUGCGAGGGGAGAUCGAGCUCAACUAUGUCAACACUCAUGAUAACCUUGCAGAUAUUUUCACAAAGCCCUUGGAUGAAGCAAGAUUUUGCGAGUUAAGGCAUGAGCUAAAUAUCAUUGAUUCAAGCAAUGUUGCUUGAACCCUUGCACACCCCACCAUACUCAACUUGUUAUCUUGUUUAGGUGUAGGCAUGGACAUAGGGGGAGUGUUGUUCUCUCAAUGAACUCUCCCUCCCCCCAUUAUGCAUAAAUUGAUCAACUCUUUCACAUUAGCCAUUGUUGAUGCUACUUGUGCUUCAAAGACGAGUUUUGGUCAUGGGCCCUAAUACGUCUCCAUCGUAUCUACUUUUCCAAACACUUUUGCCCUUGUUUUGGACUCUAACUUGCAUGAUUUGAAUGGAACUAACCCGGACCGACGCUGUUUUCAGCAGAAUUGCCAUGGUGUUAUUUUUGUGCAGAAAUAUAAGUUCUCAGAAUGACCUGAAACUUCACGGAGAAUAUUUUUGGAAUAUAUAAAAAUACUGGCGAAAGAAUCAAGACCAGGGGGCCCACACCCUGUCCACGAGGGUCGGGGCGCGCCUACCCCCCUGGGCACGACUCCCUACCUCGUGGGCCCCCUGAGGCUCCACCGACCUCAACUCCAACUCCAUAUAUUCGCUUUCGGGGAGAAAAAAAUCAGAGAGAAGGAUUCAUCGCGUUUUACGAUAUGGAGCCGCCGCCAAGCCCUAAUCUCUCUCGGGAGGGCUGAUCUGGAGUCUGGUCGGGACUCCAGAGAGGGGAGUCUGUCGCUGUCAUCAUCAUCAACCUUCCUCCAUCACCAAUUUCAUGAUGAUCACCGCCAUGCGUGAGUAAUUCCAUCGUAGGCUUGCUGUAUGGUGAUGGGUUGGAUGAGAUUUAUCAUGUAAUCGAGUUAGUUUUGUUAGGGUUUGAUCCCUAGUAUCCAUUAUGUUCUGAGAUUGAUGUUGUUGUGACUUUGCUAUGCUUAAUGCUUGUCACUAGGGCCCGAGUGCCAUGAUUUCAGAUCUGAACUUAUUAUGUUUUCCUGGAUAUAUGUGAGUUCUUGAUCCUAUCUUGCAAGUCAAUAGUCACCUACUAUGUGUUAUGAUCCGGCAACCCCGAAGUGACAAUAAUCGGGACCACUCCCGGUGAUGACCGUAGUUUGAGGAGUUCAUGUAUUCACUAAGUGUUAAUGCUUUCGUCCGGUACUCUAUUAAAAGGAGGCCUUAAUAUCCCUUAGUUUCCACUAGGACCCCGCUGCCACGGGAGGGUAGGACAAAAGAUGUCAUGCAAGUUCUUUUCCAUAAGCACGUAUGACUAUAUUCGGAAUACAUGCCUACAUUACAUUGAUGAACUGGAGCUAGUUCUGUGUCACCCUAUGUUAUAACUGUUGCAUGAAGAAUCGCAUCCGGCAUAAUUAUCCAUCACUGAUCCAAUGCCUACGAGCUUUUCACAUAGUGAUCUUUGCUUAGUUACUUUUCUGUUGCUACUGUUACAAUUACUACAAAACUGCUACUGUUACUUUUGCCACCGUUACUGUUACUUCCAUACUACUUUGCUACUAAAUACUUUGCUGCAGAUAUUAAGUUAUCCAGGUGUGGUUGAAUUGACAACUCAGCUGCUAAUACUUGAGAAUAUUCUUUGGCUCCCCUUGUGUCGAAUCAAUAAAUUUGGGUUGAAUACUCUACCCUCGAAAACUGUUGCGAUCCCCCAUACUUGUGGGUUAUUAAGACUAUUUUCUGGCGCCGUUACCGGGGAGCAUAGCUCUAUUCUUUGAGUCAUUUGGGAUUUAUAUCUGCUAAUCACUAUGAGGAACUUGAAAGACGAAAAACCAAGAUUUAUCCCUCAACUACGAGGGGAGAUAAAAAUCUUCCAUCUAGCUCUGCACUUGAUUCACCUUCUGUUGUGAGUAAACUUGCGACACCAACUCCUGCUAUUGAUUCUGAUAUGUCGCAUGUUAUUGAUGAUGCCACUUCUGCUAUGCAUGAUGCUUAUGAUGAAACACUUCUAUGCUUGAUGAUACUGUGCGACUAGGUGAAUUUCUUAAUGAACAACUUGCUAGGGCUAGAGAGGAUGAAAUUAUUGAAACUGAUAAUAUUGAUGAAAGUGAUGAUGAAGAUUCUCCCCCUAGAUAUGAAUUGCCUGUUGUGCCUGAGGGUUAUGUUAUGGAUGAAGAAACUGCUAGAGAUUUUCUUGCUUGCAAUGAUAGAUAUGAUCUUAAGAAAUUAUUAGCUAAGAUGAAAGAAAUAUCUUUGAAUGCUAGAAUGAAAUAUGACCCUGCUUUUGCUACUUCACCUAUCUGUAUUACUGAUAAGGAUUACGAUUUCUCUGUCGAUCCCGAGAUAAUUACUUUGGUUGAAUCUACUUUUUAUGGCUAUGAAUCUAAAACUGUUGUGGCACAUCUUACUAAAUUAAAUGAUAUAGCCACCCUAUUCACUCAUGAGGAAAAAAUUCGUUACUAUUAUAUCCUUAAGUUAUUUUUGUUCUCAUUAAAGGGUGAUGCUAAAACAUGGUUUAAUUCUCUUGAUCUUGGUUGUGUGCGUAGUCCCCAGGACAUGAUUUAUUACUUCUCUGCUAAGUAUUUCCCCGCUCAUAAGAAACAAGCUGCUUUAAGGGAAAUAUAUAAUUUUGUGCAAAUUGAAGAAGAGAGUCUCCCACAAGCUUGGGGGAGGCUUCUCCAAUUACUUAAUGCUUUGCCUGAUCAUCCUCUCAAGAAAAAUUAAAUACUUGAUAUCUUUUAUAAUGGACUAACCGAUGCUUCCAGAGACCACCUGGAUAGUUGUGCUGUUUGUGUUUUCAGGGAAAGAACUGUUGAUCAAGCUGAAUUGCUAUUGAAUAAUAUGUUGAGUAAUGGAAAUAAUUGGACACUUCCUGAACCAACUCCUAAGCCAACUCCGAAGAAAAGGGGUAUUCUAUUUCUCAGUCCUGAAGAUAUGCAAGAGGAAAAGAAAUCUAUGAAAGAAAAGGGUAUUAAAGCUGAAGAUGUUAAGAAUUUACCACCUAUUGAAGAAAUACAUGGUCUUGAUAACCCGACACAGGUAGUAAAGGUAAAUUCUCUCUAUAGAUUUGAUGAAGGUGAUAUUCCUUGUUAUAAGUCUGCUAGCCAAUGCUUAGAUGAGUUUGAUAAUUUUAUUGUUAAACAAGAAACUUCAAUGCUUAUGUUGGUAGACAAUUGAAACAUAAUGCUUAUAUGAUUGAACACUUGAGUGAUUAUAUGUCUAGAGUUAAGGGUGAACUUAAACUUAUUAGUAAACAUGCUUCUAUGGUCACCACUCAAGUAGAACAAGUGCUUAAAGCUCAAAAUGAUUUGCUCAAUGAAUUAAAUAAUAAGAAAAAUGAUAAUGUUGUUAGAGUUAUGACUAGAGGGGGUAAAAUGACUAAGGAACCUCUGUAUCUGAGGGCCACCCUAAGAGAAUCGAGCAAGAUUCUCAGAGAACUAAUGUAGAUGCACCUAGUCCUUCUAAGAGGAAGAAAAAGAAAAAUGAUAGGACUUUGCAUGCUUCUAGUGAACCUGUUGUUGACACACCUGAGAAUCCCAAUGAUAUUUCUAUUUCUGAUGCUGAAACACAUUCUGGUUAUGAACAUGAACCUAGUGAUAACGUUAAUGAUGAUGUUAAUGUUGAUGCUCAACCUAGCAAUAACAAUGAUGUAGAAAUUGAACCUGUUGUUGAUCUUGAUAACCCACAAUCAAAGAAUCAGCGUUAUGAUAAGAGAGACUUCAUUGCUAGGAAGCACGGUAAAGAAAGAGAACCAUGGGUUCAGAAACCCAUGCCUUUUCCUCCUAAACCAUCCAAGAAAAAGGAUGAUGAGGAUUUUGAGCGCUUUGCUGAAAUGAUUAGACCUAUCUUCUUGCGUAUGCAUUUGACUGAUAUGCUUAAAAUGAAUCCUUAUGCUAAGUAUAUGAAAGAUAUUGUUACAAAUAAAAAGAAAGAUACCGGAAGCUGAAAUUUCCACCAUGCUUGCUAAUUAUACUUUUAAGGGUGGAAUACCAAAGAAACUUGGAGAUCCAUGAGUACCAACUAUACCAUGCUCCAUUAAAAGAAACUAUGUUAGAACUGCUCUAUGUGAUCUUGGAGCCGGUGUUAGUGUUAUGCCUCUCUCGUUAUAUCGUAGACUUGAUUUGAAUAAGUUGACACCUACUGAAAUAUCUUUGCAAAUGGCCAAUAAAUCAACUGCUAUACAUGUCGGUAUUUGUGAGGAUGUGCCUGUUGUGGUUGCAAACGUUACUAUUUUAACGGACUUUGUUAUUCUUGAUAUUCCCGAGGACGAUAGUAUGUCUAUUAUCCUUGGUAGACCCUUUUUGAAUACUGCAGGGGGUGUUAUUGAUUGCAACAAAGGCAAUGUCACUUUUCAUGUUAAUGGUAAUGAGCAUACGGUACACUUUCCGAGGAAACAACCUCAAGUCCACAGUAUCAAUUCUAUUGGAAAAAUUCCAACGAUUACUAUUGGAGGUUUUGAAUUUCCUCUUCCUACUGUCAAGAAGAAAUGUGAUAUUCUUAUUAUUGGGGAUGUGCAUAUCCCCGUUGAGGUAACCUAGUGUUAUUCGAAAUUUUUCCGGUUUCAUGCAAUUCGGAAUGAGUUUGUUAACAAGACUUGAUCAACCUUGUUAGUGGAUUCCUUUUGAUGAGCAUGAGAUGGAUGAAGUUAGAAAGCACAACUCUCUGUACCCUCGUUUUACUUUCAGUUAUUUAGAUUAAAUAAAGCAAAAAUAGUAUUUUCUGUUUGUUUUCUGAAUUAUCCUUGCAAUAAAAAAUACCUUGAAAAUAAAAGUUCUCCAAAUGGCGUGAAAUCAAAAUAUGAUUUUUUUAGAAUAUAUAAGAAUAUUUGGCACUGAGAACACACCAGAGGGGCCAACCACCUGGCCACGAGGGUGCAGGGCGUGCCCACCCCCUGGGCGCGCCCCCUACCUCGUGGACCCCACGUGCCCCCCCACUUAUUCCAGCACCCACACACUUCGUCUUCCUCCAGAAAAAAUCACCACACAGCUCAAACUCGUGUUCUAGCUCGUUUUGCUGCAAUUUUCGAUCUCCUUGCUCAAAGCUCCACUCACAAAACUGCUUUGGGGAUUGUUCUUCGGUAUGUGACUCCUCCAAUGGUCCAAUUAGUUUUUGUUCUAGUGCUUUAUUCAUUGCAAAUUUUUGCUGCUUAGGUGACCCUGUUCUUGAGCUUGCAUGUCAAAUUUAUUUGGUCCCAAGUAGUUCUAAUGCAUGAUAUAGUCUCUAGGCACUUGUGGGAGUAGUUGCUAUCAAUUUUGUUGAGUUUGGUUCACUUUUAUUUUGAGUUACUAAAAAAUUUAGAAAUUUUUCAGAGGAAGAAAUAUGUUUAGGAAAAUGUACCAAGGUGGUUCUUCAGGAAGCAAGGACCCAGGCCCGCAAUACGUGAGUCGGACUAUGAACUACCAAGAGAAGCUCAAGUGCGGCCUUGUGAAUGGCCGUCAGAAAAUUUCAUGGUCCAAGCAGGAAUUAAGGAUGAAUUUGACACGUAUGUGCGUAAUGCUGAACUUGAGGGCUUCAUGUCAGAUAAGUGCCCCCAACAUUAAUACCUAACUUACUCCUUUGUGAGAAGGUUUAAAUUUACAUCAUCACGUAAUUCUCACAUGGUCCUGUUUGAUCUUUAUGAUAAAUCUUAUACCAUGGAUUUAGAGGAUUUUAAUACUGCUUGUAAGCUCCCGCAGUGGGGUAGUGCUAGUGAACCUCGCAAAUCUGAAUAUAAAGACUUUCUUGCUAGUAUAACUAUGGGAGAAUCUAGGGAAAUCACACAAGUUACCAUAGGGAGCAUUCAUUUUCCUACCAUACAUUAUUUUACUCUCUUUAUAGGUAGAUGCAUUAACGGUAAGGACGAGGCAUGUCACAUGUGCGUUCCCGAUCUUAGUGUUCUCAAGAAUGUUGUAUUAGGAGAUAAACAAUAUAACUUGGGAGCUAUUGUUGCACGAAGGUUGCAUCAUAACAGUAUUAGCGGAGAUUUGUUUGGUGGAAUUUAUGCAACCCGUUUAGCUAAUUUCUUGAGGUACCCAUUCGUGAACAUGAUAUGGAGUUGCCUCUUGCUUAUCUAGAUUUUAAUGCUAUGGUUCGUCAUCAGUUUGUUGAGAGGGAUGAACAGUCUCUCCAGUACCGACUAAUCUUUGAUAGACGUCGCGCUGUCCAUAUUACUCUCCCCGCUCCUACUUUCUUUGACUUUCAGGCAAAAAGGAGAUAUGUUAUAACCAGGGAGGAGGCGAACGAGUACGAGAGGAGGACGGAGGCAGCUCACCUCCAAGCUGCAGCUCGUGAGGCAGUAGCGGCUGCAUCUCAGUACGACCCCAGUUACAACUUCGGAUAUCCGCCAGGCCAACUUAGGCCAAAAGCCUAAGCUUGGGGGAGUACGUAUUUCUCACCAACAUUACAUUCAUGUUCACACACUCAUGCCAGUUGUCGGUGAUCAUACUCUUUCAUUGUACUAUCCAUGCUAGUUUAUUUUCUUUUCUAAGCCUUCUUCUUGUAUGCUUUAAAUAACCUUAAGAAAAAAAUAGUUGUAGUUUCUAGCUAGUUUACUUUUCAUGCCUGUAGUAGUAAUAAUUAAAAGAAAACCCAAAAAGAUUUCUCGUUCUUCUUUUGUUUGUUGGGAGCUUUCCCGUGUAAAUAGUUUUAUUUCCUUUCUUUUCUUUGGGGGUCGAGAGGAGAAGACCAUGAUGAAAACGUUGAAGUGGCUCUUAUAUGCAUUAUUGUUGAUUUAACCAAGAGCCUAUAUUACCUUGUCUCCUCCCUUGAAUUAAAUGCUUGCAGAUUCCAGCUUAGUCCAAUGCACGUGCACUAUUAUUAUUAUCCACACCGUUCGGUCGUGCGAGUGAAAGGCAAUAAUGACGAUAUAUGAUGGACUGAUUGAGAUGAGAGAAGCUGGUAUGAACUUGACCUCUCUUGUCUUUGUAAAUAUGGUUAGUUCAUCAUUCCUGAUUCAGCCUAUUAUGAAUGAAACAUGUUGCAAUGACAAUUAGAGAUUAUAGUUGCUCAUGCCAUGCUUAAUUAGCUAGGAGUUUAUAAUGGUUUACCUUGCGUGCCAACAUGCUAUUAAAAUGGUUGUGAUGUGGUAUGAUAGGAUGGUAUCCUCCUUUGAAUGAUUCGAGUGGCUUGACUUGUCACAUGUUCACACAUGUAGUUGAAACAAAAUCAACAUAGCCUCCACUAUAUUUAUGUUCAUGGUGAAUUAUAUCCUACUCAUGCUUGCACUCAGUGUUGAUUAAUUUUAAUGCAUGUUCAUGACUGUUGUCGCUCUCUAGUUGGUCGCUUCCCAGUCUCUUUCUAGCCUUCACUUGUACUAAGCGGGAAUACUGCUUGUGCAUCCACUUCCUAAACCCAAAGUUAUUCCAUCUGAGUCCACCAUACCUUCCUAUAUGCAGUAUCUACCUGCCGUUCCAAGUAAAUUUGUAUGUGCCAAACUCUAAACCUUCAAAUGAAAUUCUGUUUUGUAUGCUCGAAUAGCUCAUGUAUCAACUAGGGAUGUAUGUAUCUUCCAUGCUAGGCGGGUUAUUUUCAAGAGGAGUGGACUCCGCUCCUCACUCAUGAGAAAAUGGCUAGUCACCGGGAUGCCUAGUCCCAUGCUCAAACCAAAUCAAAAUAAUUGCGAACAAAACUCCCCGGGGAUUGUUGUUAGUUGGAGGCACCCGUUGUUUCGGGCGAGCCAUGGAUUGAUGCUUGUUGGUGGUGGGGGAGUAUAAACUUUACCAUUCUGCUUGGGAACCACCUAUAAUGUGUGUAGCAUGGAAGAUAUCGAGAUCUCUCGGUUGUUAUGUUGACAAUGAAAGUAUGCCACUCAAAAUAUUAUUUAUCUCUGUUUCAAAAAUCGAGCUCUGGCACCUCUACAAAUCCCUUCUUCCCUCUGCGAAGGGCUUAUCUAUUUACUUUUAUGUUGAGUCAUCACCCUCUUAUUACAAAGCACUAGCUGGAGUGCACCGCUGUCAUUUGCAUGCAUUACUAUUAGUUUACAUUGAGUAUGACUAUGACUGGAUCUCUUUUACCAUGAAUUACAAUGUUUAGUCCGUCCUUGAUCUUCAGAGGUGCUCUGCAUUUAUGUUUUGCGGUCUCAGAAAGGGCUAGCGAGAUACCAUCUUGUUAUAUCAUAUUAUGAUUGUUUCGAGAAAGUGUUGUCAUCCGAGAUUUAUUAUUAUUGCUCGCUAAUUGAUUAUGUCAUUGAUAUGAGUAAACAUGAGACCUAAAUGUUAUUGUGAACAUGGUUAGUUCAUAAUCUUUGCUGAAAACUUGAAUGUUGGCUUUACAUAUUUGCAACAACAAGAGCAGACAGUUUGAAAAAGUUUUUCUUUAUCACUUUCAGUUUAUCAACUAAAUUGCUUGAGGACAAGCAAAGGUUUAAGCUUGGGGGAGUUGAUACGUCUCCAUCGUAUCUACUUUUCCAAACACUUUUGCCCUUGUUUUGGACUCUAACUUGCAUGAUUUGAAUGGAACUAACCCGGACUAACACUGUUUUUAGCAGAAUUGCCAUGGUGUUAUUUUUGUGCAGAAAUAAAAGUUCUCGGAAUGACCUGAAACUUCACGAAGAAUAUUUUUGGAAUAUAUAAAAGAUACUGGUGAAAGAAUCAAGACCAGGGGGGCCACAACCUGUCCACGAGGGUGGGGGCGCGCCCCCCUGCCUCGUGGGCCCCCUGAGGCUCCACCGACCUCAACUCCUACUCCAUAUAUUCGCAUUCAGGGAGAAAAAAAUCAAAGAGAAGGAUUCAUCGCGUUUUACGAUACGGAGCCGCCGCCAAGCCCUAAUCUCUCUCGGGAGGGCUGAUCUAGAGUCCGUUCGGGGCUUCGGAGAGGGGAAUCCGUCGCCGUCGUCAUCAUCAACCUUCCUCCAUCACCAAUUUCAUGAUGCUCACCAUCAUGCGUGAGUAAUUGCAUCGUAGGUUUGCUGGACGGUGAUGGGUUGGAUCAGAUUUAUCAUGUAAUCGAGUUAGUUUUGUUAGGGUUUGAUCCCUAGUAUCCAUUAUGUUCUGAGAUUGAUGUUGCUAUGUGUCGGUGUACAAAAGAAGGGGUGCACCUUUGUACCCCUUUACCUGUGCACGGGCAGUCGGAGUCGCGCUCACGGCCACACCAAGCAGAGCAAGGGAGGUGAACCAAGGCAAAACCGAAGCCCAAGACAGCCAGAGCAACGCCAAGACCAAGAACGCGAAGGACAGAGAGACGAAGCAGGUUCCCUCAGUGACCCCGGCAAGCCCCUUUGCCGGCGCGGCUCGUCAAACACCAACAGGGCGAGCCACCCUUCAGCCCACAUCCCCAACACCAUCAGCCACGUGGGGCCAGGGGUCGGGAGGCACCUCUAUGGUGGCAUGCAGAUCUUUGUGAAGACAUAUUCAAGAUCAGAUGAGGACUAGAAGACAAUGAUCCUCGGCAAGAUCCUUGCCGAGGAGACCCACGAGACCCCCGGCAAGAUUCUUGCCGGGGACGACAGCGCGCCACGGCAAGACCCUUGCCGGGCCCCCCGGCAAGGCUCUCGCCAAAGAUGCCAGCAUGGCCACUGCCAGGCCCGCACCAGCCAAGUCUCCACCGCCGUUCGCAUGCAGCUACCAGCCCAAACAAGCCGGGCAGGCACCUGCGUGGCAACAUGCAGCUUCCAUGCCAACUCAGCAGGCGCCUGCGUGGCGGUAUGCAGAUCUUCGUGAAGACCCUACCACCGCGCCACCUCAGCUGCCUGCCUGCCUACAUGGAACACACGCAUCGCUGGCUAGGGCGCGUAUCAAAGCGAGGAGGAGCGGCGACGGACGGGACGGGCCUCGCCCCCGUCCCCGAUAAAGCUAGGGGACACCUCAGCGGUGCAUUAAAUGCGACUUGUACUGUAAUACGAGCGAUAAGCUUGCAAUACUGUACGCCUUUCCACCUCCUGUAUGCCACUGUGGCAGCCCCUUUCGCCUAUAAAAGGAGGCCCAUGGCAUACUGGAGGAGGAUUCGGCUCUUUCAAACCACGCACUCACCAUAGCUAGUUCGAGAGCUCAAGAACUCUCUGAAAUACACCCACCAAAGCAGGACUAGGGUUUUACGCAUCCUCGCGGCCCGAACCUGGGUAAACGAUCCUUGUGCUGAUUACUAAUCCUUCUCUUCUCGCAACCCUGCGCCCCGGCAACCGUAGUAGGGAUCCUUGUGAUCCCAUAGGUGUCGUUCCACACCGACAUCUUUGGCGCGCCAGGUAGGGGGCGCAAUUGUGAGAAUCUGGUCUAGUAGCUAGCCUAGCGUUUCUUCAUCUCCAUGGCUCCCAAGAAGAAGACGGCCACGGCGAUCGGCUCGUCGGGGGCCGAACGGCCCGUACCGCUACGGGCGAGCAGCGACCCGGUCGCGGACAGGACCCGGGCCGCGGUCCGCGAGCACCAGCAUCACCGUGGUAGUCAGAGCCUGGCGAGCGGCGUCGUUCGCACGCCCGACGACCGGCCGCACGUUGCCAUAUCCAAAGACGGAGCUGGGCCCCCCGCAGGCGGCGCGGGGCCCUCCAGGGGUGUCGUUGUGCCACCUCCGGGCAGCGCAGCGACCUCCAAGACACCCACGCCGGCGACCACUGUGCGCUCUUCCCAUGGUGUGCGCGACGAACAGCGUCACCACGCCGGCGACCCUGGGCACCGCCGUGGGAAGAGCCCUGUGCGUCAUCCGCGAGAUGAAGGAGUUCUGCAUGCCCGCCGAAGUGCUGGCGAAAAUGGCGCGCAACCGCUGGGCCGUGGUCGAGCUCCUUCUAACAUGGUUAGAAGUUGAAGCACGCCACGGUCCAUGCAGCUAUCGCCGCCACCCACGCCAGCGGAAGCUUUGGCGCGCACGCAGCUGCUCCUCAACUUCCCUCCUGCUGCAGAGAAACUCGACGAGUGGAGGGCCACCAUCCGGAGCCUCGUCGCCAUCGCCAACAAAGACGAUCCGCGACCGGCGGGGCCCUCGGGUCGGCGCUCCACCGAACCACCACAUGCUGGCGCUGGGAGGACCGGGGAGCUGCAGCCACGGUGCACUCUCCUCCUCCUCGCCAGCCGCCGCGGGUGUCUGCCCGUCAUGACGACGCUUGUGAUAACAUCUCUAUAGCGUCGUCCGACCCGCGGACCCACCGCGACCAGCGCCAAGUUCUUCGAGAACAAGCUCACGAAGAUGCUCGGACCACUAGGAAUCAACAAGUGUUUCCACGACUCUACCGCCCGGCCAAUCCGCCCGGGCAAUAAAACAAUAUGAGCAAAACAAUAUCAUAGCAAACGGUAUGUGCUGGUUGGAUAGAGCACUCUGAUCUGAGCCCUCAUCCCUGGAUGUCAGUAGCUGUUUCUUCUUCUCGCUAGUUAGAUUAGUAGAUGCUAAUUUCACUGAAAGAUCUGAUUUCUUCGAAUUUCCUUUCCUUUAGGGUGAAAAAACUUCUCCCGUUGCUGCAUUCUCCACUUUCUUAUCUCGAAAAUGCGUAAUAUAGUGAUUUCAUGUGUCUGUUUCUCUGAAAAGGUGGGUGUCAUGUUCAAAGCAGGUUUCUCUAGACACCUUGGAAAAGAUCACUGACGAGCUAUGGAUAUAUCGAUUUCUAUUUUCAGAAAGCUCCUAUUUCGAUUGAUAUCUCUAGCAAAUAUAUGCGUAGCGUAUGUCAAGAUAAAGUAAAUCAAUCCGUAUGACGGCAGGGAGCGGAGGCAGCUUCAACUCAAGUGAGGAGCAAGCUUCCUGACCCGGUACAGCCGCUAAGCUCAUUUUUCAUUUCCAAGUGUUGUUACUAGCCUCGAGAGAGAUGUUUCACAGGAUUCACCUGCAACUGAUAAACCUGGGGGAUAAUACCGAAACUCAGAUUUUGACUAUGAUUAGGCGGGGACAGGAUUCGAACCUGCAGUCUUCAGGUCAUGAGCCUGAUGAGUUGACCAAUUCCUCUACCCCGCUUCUUCCCCUGAUCUUUCUUUCCCUCUUCCCAGCUCAAAAGCAAGCGGUCUGUUAAUGAUACUUAAUGAAAAAGAGAUCAGCUCGGAGAGAGGCUCGGUGAAAUAGACAUGUCUGUGAAGAUGCGGACUACCUGCACCAGCGCCGGCGUGAUACGCGCCACCAGUCGGACAAGCGGGCAGGACCCGCUAUGGACCAGCCAGCAUCGGGGGGCUCUGGCGGCCUACCUUACGAGGUGGGCUGCCCGGCCUUUACCCGUGAGCUGCGGCAGUUCCAGUGGCCAUCCCACCGCACGUUGAAGCCCGACGUCGGCGAGAAGUACACUGGCAAGACCCAUCCGUCAGAGUUCCUCAGCAUCUACACCAUCGCGAUGCAGGCGGCCAGAGCUCGCGACGACAAGGUGCUUGCCAAUUAUUUCUCGCUGGCGCUGAAGCCCAAUGUUAUGUCUUAGUUGAUGCACUUGCCGGCGGAUUCCAUUUCUUCUUGGUCGGAUCUGUGCCAUGAGUUCGUUGGCGCCUUCACAGGAGGCCACCAAGCUCAUGGCCAGGCCAGUGAUCUGCAUAUCGUUCCCAAGAAGGAAGGGGAAACCCUGCGCAAGUACAUCCAGAGGUUCAGCCGGGUGCAGUACAACAUCCCUGACGUUCAUCCCGUCGCUGUGAUCAGCGCGUUCCACCAGAACAUGCGCAAUCGCAAGAUGCGCAAAGAGCUGGCGAUGACCAAGGUUAAGGAUGUGGCCGAGCUCUACGUUCUGGCCGAUAAAUGCGCCCGGGCUGAAGAGGGAAGGAAGUACCCCGGCGAAGACGCCGGUGCGGAAACCAACUCUACCGACAAAGACGCUGCCAACCUGACGAAGAAGGGCCGGCGUUGCAACAGGAAACGCAAGGGCAAGGUCGUACUUUCCGUCGAGGGGUAUGACGACACCGGCGCUGCCAAGAAGGUCAAGGCAGACGGCCCCGACAAGGAGAUUGCCGGGUGCGCCGCCUGCCGGGCCUUAGCAGCUGCCGACAAGCCAGGGGGCUCCGGCAAGCAGUACUGCACGAUCCACCGCACCAAGGGCCACGACCUCCAGAACUGCCGACAAGUCGAGCUGCUUGCUGAAAAGCAAAAGGCCGAGUAUGAAAGGCGGGACAAGGAGAAAGGUCAGGACGGUGCUGAGGGAUCCGGCAAGAAGCAUGGCGGCCAAGGAAGCCGCCCCGGCAAGGACAACCAGCAAGAGAGGCCCGCCCGGGGCCGUGACAAGAAACAAGAAGACGAUGAUCACGACGAGGACGACGAGUCCGGUGAGCAAGAGUUCCAGAAGGCUACGGAGACCAUGUGCGUCGAUGGUGGCGCCUCGCUGCAUACUUCUCACCGCCAGCUCAAGCAGUGGGCGCGUGAGAUUACAACAGCGGAGCCGUCGUUUGACGCUCAGAAGCCGCUGAAGUGGUCCAGCACGCCCCUCAUCUUUGACGCUGAGGACCAACCUGACCGCACGACCGCGGUCGGGUGUUUGCCAUUAUUGGUCUCACCAACGAUACGCAACCUCAAGGUGAACAAGAUGUUGGUUGACGGCGGGGCCGUCCUGAACUUGAUCUCGCCCGUCGUGAUCAAAAGGCUGCAAAUUCCUGAUGAAGACCUUGAGGAAACGGGCACGUUUCAAGGGGUCAAUCCAGGGAGGAGCCAGCCGAAGGGGAAGGUCACACUGCCCGUGACGUUUGGAGGAGAGUUGAACUACAGGACGGAUAGGAUCAUCUUCGACGUGGCCGAGAUCCCCUUGCCCUACAACGGGAUCCUCGGCCGCCCGGCACUAGCCAAGUUCAUGGUGGCAUCACACUACGCCUACAACAUGCUAAAGAUGCCCGGGCCGUUGACCAUCAUCUCCGUCCGACAAGAAGGACGCGCUGAUUUGCGCCGACCAACUCUACCGGGAAGCAAUUGCAGCAGCUGCCGUCAAGGCACCUGCUCCUGCCGCUGAAGUCCCGGGAGGGAAGAAGAAGCCCAACAAGACCUUUCGCACCCACUCCGGCAAGCGCACCUCCUCGGAGUGUUGUGCUACCAUCGAGGACGUGCCAGAGAGUUCUACCGGCAAGAGCAAGAAAUCCAUAGCUGAGUCGCCGCAGACCAAGAAGGUGUCUGUCAGGGAGGAUGGCACGGGAGGGGCCUUCACCAUAGGCUCCACCCUCGACAGCAAAUAGGAAGGCACACUCAUCACCUUCCUGCGGGCGAAUGUCGACGUGUUUGCGUGGCAAGCAUCCGACAUCCCUGGUGUUCCCAGGGAGGUGAUUGAGCACCACCUAGCUGUCUGUCCUCAUGCGCGGCCCGUCAAGCAGAAGGUUGGAAAGCAGGCUCUGGAGAGGUAGGAGUUCAUCACAGAGGAGAUCAGGAAGUUGGAAGCGGCAGGUUUGGUGAGAGGAGUGCUCCACCCGACGUGGUUGGCCAAUCCGGUAGUGGUGCGCAAGGCAAAUGGGAAGUGGAGGCUGUGUAUUGACUACACAGAUAUCAAUAAGGCUUGUCCUAAGGACCCCUUCCCAUUUCCGCGCAUCGACCAGAUUGUCGACUCCAAGGCCGGGUGUGAUCUGUUGUCAUUCCUCGACGCCUACUCGGGCUACCAGCAAAUCUUCAUGACAAGAGAAGAUGAAGAGAAGACAGCAUUCAUCACCCCAUGUGGUACGUAUUGCUUUUUACGGAUGCCUUUCGGGUUGAAGAGUGCUGGCUCGACGUUUGCAAGAGCAGUCCAAAUUGGUCUUGAACCCCAGCUCCAUAGAAAUAUGGAAGCAUACAUGGAUGACAUAGUGGUCAAAACCAAAGACGGGGCAACUCUUGUGCAAGAUCUGGAAGAGACAUUUGCCAACCUGGCAAGAUCAACCUCAAGCUGAACCCUGAGAAGUGUGUCUUCGGUGUUCCGUCCGGCAAGCUUCUCGGGUUCUUUGUGUUGCAGCACGGGAUCGAGGCAAACCCAGACAAAAUCAAGGCUAUUGAGCAGAUUGAGGCGCCCAAGCAGAUCAAGGACGUGCGUCGGCUCACCGGCUGCGUCGCCACCAUGAGCCGAUUCAUCUCCAAGUCCGCCGAGUAUGCCCUUCCUUUCUUCAAAAUCUUGAAAAAGACAGGCCCAAUGGAGUGGACCCCAGAAGCCGAGGCAGCAUUGCAGGAUCUGAAGAAAUACCUUUCCUCCACGCCAAUACUGGUUGCGCCUAAACCACAAGAGCCGUUGCUACUAUAUAUGGCGGCGACGAAUCAAGUGGUCAGCGCCGCAUUGGUGGCACAGAGGGAGGUCGACGAGGAGGCAGUGACGGCGGCAGAACCAGCGGAUGGCAAGCCAAAGAUUCCCCCGGCAGGGCCUGGUGCCGGCAAGGCGAGGCCCCCGGCAGAGUCUGAUGCCCCCAAGGCAGUGCCUGCGCAGUCGAGUGAGGUGGUGCAGAAGAAGAAGAUGAUGCAGCACCCGGUUUACUUUGUCAGCUCCCUCGUGCAGGGAGCUAGGUCGAGGUACUCCGGUGUGCAGAAAUUGCUCUUCGGCCUCCUUAUGGCCUCGAGGAAGCUGCGUCAUUACUUCCAAGCCCACGAGAUCACUGUCGUCACCCGCCUCCCAUUGCAACGGAUACUGCAUAACCCAGAUGCAACCGGAAGGAUUGUGGAAUGGGCCUUGGAGUUAUCAAGUUUUGGUUUGAAGUUUGAAAGUACCUCGACAAUCCAGAGCAGAGUCUUGGCGGAGUUCAUUGCAGAAUGGACCUCAACGCUUGACGAAGAAAUCCAGGAGACCAAUCAUGUACUUUGAUGGGGCUUUCUCGCUGCAAGGCGCCGGUGCCGGUGUGCUGCUCAUCGCACCCACCGGAGAGCACCUCAAGUACGUGAUCCAGAUGCACUUCCCCAGGGAGAUGUCCACCAACAACACUGCGGAGUACGAGGGAUUGCUCGCCGGUCUCAGGAUUGCGGCAGACCUCGGGGUUAAGAAGCUCAUCGUCAGGGGUGACUCGCAGCUUGUUGUUAGGCAGGUCCACAAGGACUACCAGAGCCCAUUGAUGGAGGCCUACGUAGAUGAGGUGAGAAAGCUGGAGGAGCGCUUUGACGGCAUCCAAGCGGAGCACGUCCCCCGAGCGGAGAACGACAUCGCCGAUUACCUGUCAAAGCAUGCUGCAUUCAAGCUACCUGUGGAACCGGGUACCUUUUUGCUCCGUUUAACUCAACCAUCCGUCGAACCAUCAACAGAGCAGAACAAGCGAAGGAAAUCAGGUCCCGGCAAGUACCUUCUCGCCGAGCCCCUUGGGACGGCCGGCAAGGAUGUUGCCGUGCACACUGAGCCUGCCCAAGAGCAACUGGCUCCGGCAGGGCGUCAAGCCCUGGCCGUAGAGACAGCCGCUCCCAUGGCGGAAGAGAUGCCUUUGGUGCUUGCCGUCGAGCCCCAGGCUCCGGCAUGGGCGCAGCAUACCGUCCAAUUCCUCCAAACAGGGGAGCUUCCUGAGGAGCAGGAAGAAACGGAGAAAGUAGCCCGUCGGUCUGCCCUGUACCAGUUCGUCGAUGACGUCAUGUACAGGAGGAGGCCGAACGGUGUGAAAUUGAAGUGCAUCCCCCGGGAGGAAGGACUGGAGCUGUUGGCGGAGAUACAUGGAGGCAUAUGUGGCUCCCACAUAGGGUCAAGGGCCCUUGCCGCAAGGCGUUCCGGCAAGGUUUCUUCUGGCCCACCGCCCUCCAGGAUGCGACGGCACUAGUAACCAAGUGUGAAGCGUGUCAGUUCCAUUCAAAGAAGCUUCAUCACCAGCUCAAGCCCUUCAAACAAUCCCUCUCUCCUGGCCAUUCUCGGUCUGGGGGCUCGAUAUACUGGGCCCUUUCCCCCACGCUGUCGGGGGCUUUGAGUACUUGUACGUUGCAAUCGACAAGUUCACAAAGUGGCCGGAAGUGGAAGCAGUGAGAAAGGUGACUGCUCAGUCAGCCGUCAAGUUCUUCAAGGGACUGGUCUGCCGUUUUGGUGUGCCAAACAGAGUCAUCACCGACAACGGCACGCAGUUCACAAGCCACACCUUCAUGAAAUACAUUCAAGACCUCGGUAGCAAGGUCUGUUUUGCUUCCGUGGCACACCCACGGAGCAACGGCCAAGCGGAGAGGGCAAAUGCUGAUGUGUUGCGAGGCCUGAGAACAAAGACCUUUGACAAGCUGCACAAGAGUGCAAGGUGCUGGAUUGAUGAGUUGCCGGCGGUUCUUUGGUCGAUCAGGACGACGCCAAAUCGAGCCACCGGUCAGACACCCUUUGCCCUAGUAUAUGGGGCGGAGGCAGUUCUCCCCACGGAACUCAUAUACGGGUCACCUCGAGUGCUCGCUUAUGAUGAGCUUGAGCAAGAGCAGUUGCGGCAAGAUGACGCAAUGCUCCUUGAGGAAGAUCGUCUUCGGGCGGCUGUGAGAGUAGCACGCUACCAGCAAGCCUUGCGCCGCUACCAUAGCCGCAAGGUUCAUGCCCGAAGCUUUGAGGAAGGCGACCUUGUUCUUCGGCGCGUUCAGUCGGCCAAGAAUUCCAACAAGUUGACGCCAAAGUGGGAAGGCCCUUAUCGGGUAAUACGAGUCACCAGGCCCGGCGCAGUCCGCCUGGAGACCGAAGAUGUUGUCCCAGUGAGCAACUCCUGGAACAUCGAGCAUCUUCGCAAGUUUUACCCAUAAGGCGAGGCUUGCCGGGCCUCCCGGCAAGCCACCUUUUGUACAAGCUUUGCCGGCAAGGCAUGUUAACCCUUUGUACAAAGCCAAACGCAGACCCUGAGCAUAAAUAAAUGAAUCGCUGGCGCCCUAAGUUAUAGCAUGCAUGCUAGGUCGAGUCUCUUCCUUGGUUAGGGUUGAUAGUGCUCAGAGAAAGGGCAAAAGGGGCGCCUAGGCGAGCUACGAGCAGCAGAAAGCACCAAGAGAACACCUCGGUGGCUGCCCACGAGUAGGCCGGUGAUGACGGUGCCGGGAAAGGAGCUGGAAGACGAGGCGGCAGGACCGGCAAUACGCGAUGAAGGUGUCGGUGCCCGCGUACUCUGAGUUGACGGCCUUGCUGCCCGCCUUCUUCCUCUUCCGCAGCCUCCCGACGCCGGCCGCCCAAGGAGACGGCCUCGAGAAGUUCAAGGAGCUGGCCCCACCCCCGGCAAAACUCUGGCGGAGGAGCGGCCAGGUGCAGAUGCUGCUGCUGCCGCACCCGCCCAGGCGCGGGGCGUCCGACGCCUAGUCGGACUCGUCCCCGUCAUCUGCCCCGCUGUCCUCCUCAUCACUUUCGCUCGAGGAAGAUCUUCCAUCGUCGGAAUCUCCGUCGGAGGAGCUCUCCACGCAGCACUUCAGGCGAGUCCCGAAGUCUCUAAAGACCUUGACAGAGAGCAGGCCGUCCUCCAUUAAUUUGAAGUAGAGGACAAGCCCCGCCGUCAGGCUGUGGAUGCGAGCGAACGUCUUCCACCCACGAUGGAGGUACAUGACCCGAGGAGCCCGGAAGUCGACGUCGACCCGAGUGCCCCCAUUCCCACAGCCCCUCAUGUGCAAUCUGAGGGAUUGGGGCGGGUCACGCUCCAUCUCCCGAGAAAACGGGGCGGGAAGACGAAGACGGCGACACGGAGGCCGGCGCAGCCUGAUGAAGAAUUCGCGGGGCUGGUCUCCGACAUGGCCUUCCAUCGAAAAAGGCAUCAUUGGCGGGGGCGAAGCCGGCGCGUUGCCCCGUCCUCCUCUUCCCCGAGCACUACGACCUCUGCCCCAGCCUCGCCCACGGCCUCGCCCCCUCUCCCUUCCCCUCGCGGUCGGCUCCACCACCGCGGGCUCAGGAGGGGGAGGGACGCGCUGUCGAGCGGCGACCCUCGCCGCCACCGAUGAGGGACCACGAUUCCCUUUCUCCAUGGCGAGUGAAAGGAAGAAGCGGAAGCAGGAGGGGAUAGAUGACAGAAGAGUGCGGGAUGCCAUCCCCCUUCCCCCUCCUUAUAAAGGGGUGGGGUCGGGGCUCGGCCGCCCCGCUCGGCCAAUCUAGCCACCAGAGGCGCAGGGAAUCGAGACCGACCCGCUGCCCCAACCAGCAACGGCCCGGUUUCCCGCCUCCACCGCUUGCCACCCCAAGCGCAUGGAGGAUGCGUGGCGAACUUGCAGAAUCGAGGGGACGGGUGAAGCGACCUCUCCCCACCCCGUGAUCGUGGGGUGUGGACGCCUUGAAGACCGCAACCCGGCCCCGUGCAGUAAAUAAGCCGUGCCUCCACGCCUCCCUCCUUUCAUGGGGAAGGCGCGAGCUGCCCAUUUACUGCGAUAUGACGCAUGCGUGCAGGAACCGCCCCACGCAUGCCGCCCACGUCACGCGUUCCCCUCCACGUCGCACCUUCAACACAGGUCAUGGGAAGCGCGGCGCACGAAAAGUUUCAACGUGGUAAAAACCGCCCCGCCUGCCCGCGCACCGUUUUGGGCCUGGCCCAACAACGUGUCGCGCUUAUGUGUGGCCCAGGCCCGGGGGCUCCUGUCGGUGUACAAAAGAAGGGGCGCACCUUUGUACCCCUUUACCUGUGCACGGGCAGUCGGAGCCGCGCCCACAGCCACACCAAGUAGAGCAGGGGAGGUGAACCAAGGCAAAACCGAAGCCCAAGACAGCCAGAGCAAUGCCAAGACCAAGAACGCGAAGGACAGAGAGAUGAAGCAGGUUCCCCCGGCAAGACCCUUGCCGGGGCAGCCUCAGCGACCCCGGCAAGCCCCUUUGCCGGGGCGGCUCGUCAAACACCAACAGGGCGAGCCACCCUUGAGCCCACAUCCCCAACACCAUCAGCCACGUGGGGCCAGGGCUCGGGAGGCACCUCUGUGGUGGCAUGCAGAUCUUUGUGAAGACAUAUUCAAGAUCAGAUGAGGAUUAGAAGACAAUGAUCCUCGGCAAGAUCCUUGCCGAGGAGAGCCACGAGACCCCCGGAAAGAUUCUUGUCGGGGACGAUAGCGCGCCACGGCAAGACCCUUGCCGGGCCCCCCGCAAGGCUCUCGCUGAAGACGCCAGCAUGGCCACUGCCAGGCCCGCACCAGCCAAGUCUCCACCGCCGUUCGCAUGCAGCUGCCAGUCCAAACCAGCCGGGCAGGCACCUGCGUGGCAACAUGCAGCUUCCAGGCCAACUCAGCAGGCGCCUGCAUGGCGGCAUGCAGAUCUUCGUGAAGACCCUACCACCGCGCCACCUCAGCUGCCUGCCUGCCUACAUGGCGCCGCACGCAUCGCUGGCCAGGGCGCGUGUCGAAGCGAGGAGGAGCGGCGACGGACGGGACGGGCCUCGCCCCCGUCCCCGAUAAAGCUAGGGGACACCUCAGCGGCGCAUUAAAUGCGACUUGUCCUGUAAUACGAGCGAUAAGCUCACAAUACUGUACGCCUUUCCACUUCCUGUAUGCCACUGUGGCAGCCCCUUUUGCCUAUAAAAGGAGGCCCAUGGCAUACUGGAGGAGGAUUCGGCUCUUUCGAACCACGCACUCACCAUAGCUAGUUCGAGAGCUCAAGAACUCUCUAAAAUACACCCACCAAAGCAGGACUAGGGUUUUACGCAUCCUCGCGGCCCAAACCUGGGUAAACGAUCCUUGUGCUAAUUACUAAUCUUGCUCUUCUCGCAACCCUGCGCCCCGGCAACCGUAGUAGGGAUCCUUGUGAUCCCAUAGGUGUUGUUCCACACCGACACUAUGACUUUGCUAUGCUUAAUGCUUGUCACUAGGGCCCGAGUGCCAUGAUUUCAGAUCUGAACCUAUUAUGUUUUCAUGAAUAUAUGUGAACUUUUGAUCCUAUCUUGCAAGUCAAUAGUCACCUACUAUGUGUUAUGAUCCGGCAACCCCGAAGUGACAAUAAUCGGGACCACUCCCGGUGAUGACCGUAGUUUGAGGAGUUCAUGUAUUCACUAAGUGUUAAUGCUUUCGUCCGGUACUCUAUUAAAAGGAGGCCUUAAUAUCCCUUAGUUUCCACUAGGACCCCGCUGCCACGGGAGGGUAGGACAAAAGAUGUCAUGCAAGUUCUUUUCCAUAAGCACGUAUGACUAUAUUCGGAAUACAUGCCUACAUUACUUUGAUGAACUGGAGCUAGUUCUGUGUCACCCUAUGUUAUAACUGUUGCAUGAAGAAUCGCAUCUGACAUAAUUAUCCAUCACUGAUCCAAUGCCUACGAGCUUUUCACAUAUUGAUCUUUGCUUAGUUACUUUUCCGUUGCCACUGUUACAAUUACUACAAAACUGCUACUGUUACUUUUGCCAUCGUUACCGUUACUUCCAUACUACUUUGCUGCAGAGAUUAAGUUAUCCAGGUGUGGUUGAAUUGACAACUCAACUGCUAAUACUUGAGAAUAUUCUUUGGCUCCCCUUGUGUCGAAUCAAUAAAUUUGGGUUGAAUACUCUACCCUCAAAAACUGUUGCGAUCCCCUAUACUUGUGGGUUAUCGGGCCCAACGAUAAUUCUUCACGGUGCCAUACCUAUUGACUCAAACAUAGGUGGCUCCGGCCACCGCCCUCUCGUUGGAGAGGUUGUGACGCGUGUUUGGUCCUUGUUGUCUCUUGCCUUUCUUUCUUCGUGCCGAGCUUGUGCUUGCGUUACCUCAUGUGUUAGCUCUUUGGUGUGUCCGUUCGCUUGAAGGUUGCUUUGCAAAGGCUGUUUUCCUCUUUUAUUUGCGCAACAUGCAUUUUCUUGGGUCUACGGUACUACCGUGGCUUGCCACGGUACUACCGUAGGAGCUGCGCACGGUACUACCGCACCCAGCACGGCAGUAAUUGUUUACUGCCGCUGGAAGAGCGGUACUACCGCCCACGGUGCGGUACUUCUGCCCAAGUGGUACUACCGCCAUGACUCGCUGUACUACCGCGCAGUCGUGAGCGCGUGGGGGUUAAGAGCGGGCAGGGGGAGUUCUAACUCCCCCAUACCCAUUCAACUCCUUUUCCCCACGUCGUCUCUCUCUCUCUCCUGCCCAAGAACGGCGCCGGAGGACCUCGCCGGAUCUCCGUCUCCGUCCGCUCUCCUCGCAUUCCGACCGGUGGGAUCGUUCCCCACCUCGACCUCUUGCCAUGGAACAAGGUUUCUCCCCAAAUCCCUCUCUCUUUGUUUCAUUGUUUUGCGUCUAGGUUUUGGGGAGAAACAUUGUGUUCUUGAGAUUUUAGGCCAAAUCUUUGCAAGAGUAGGAUGUAGGAGAGUUGUAGUGCUGUAGAGAUGCUAUUUGGUAUGUUGCUACUCGGUAGUUUUGAUCAACCGUAGUACCGCUCCGUUGUCACGGAUGUUCCAAGAUCUGAUUCAUUUCGAAUCUAAUCCGAGCGGUACUACCGAACUCCCGUACGGUACUAUCGCUCUGGCCGCUUUCGCCUCGUACGGUACUACCGCUUCUCCGGAGCGGUACUACCGCGCACGGCGCGGAAGUAAAAUUUUACUUCCGCUCUAGGCGCGGUACUACUGUGCCAUCUCGGCGUGGUACUACCGCAGCUAGAGCGGUACUAAAAUUUUAGUUCCGCUUCAUGGAGCCGUACUACCGUUGAUCUCAAACCUUCCUUGUGGCCACUACCCAAUGUUACCUCUUCUUGUUUCGUUUGUUUUUGCUGUGGUCUUUGCAUUGAUCCUUCUUGCCUCUCUUGCGUAUUCUUGUGUUGUGUGUCAUAGGUGGUGGCUCCGGUUCCAAUGUCCGCCAUUCGAAUCCAAGCCGUGACACGGGCUCCAAGCGCCUGUGCAACCAAGAUGAAGCUCCAGAGGGCUCCAAUGCCCCCCAACGCGGAACCAAGACCACCGCCACCAAGAACAAGGAGCCCUCAAUGGGCAUGGAUGAGAUACCACUUGCUGAGUUUGUCGCUCGAAGGAGGAUCAACCCCUAUGUGAAUCCCCGUGCCAACUUCAGAGGGAAUGAUUUGUUCUGGACCAAGCAGCAGAAUCUUAUCCAUCUGGAUGUGAUCAAGGCCAAGCAGAACAUCUACGUGGACGUGCACUAGAUUGACAUGAUUCACAUGAGGCAGGAUAAGUACCGUGACUAUUUUGGUGAGGCUUUGGACCUGGUGGAGCAGUUUGGCAUUGAGGACGUGAUCUCUUUCCACCUGGACUUUGACCCUGAGAUUGUGGCCCAGUUCUUUGCUUCGGUCCACUUCCAUACUGAUGAGGAAUGUACCAUGACAUGGAUGACCAAUGGACAACGGAUGACUGCUAAGUGGAAGGACUUCAUGGCUUUGCUACAGGUGCCUGAUGAGGGGCUCAACACGCCCGUUGGUGUUCGCCCUCAUGCCAACCCCGAGUCCGCUAGCAAGAACAAGCUUUAGCAGUACUAUGUUGAGAAGAAGCUUCCCAAUGACAAGAAGGCGUGGGUGCUGAACCCAUUCCUUGACAUCAUGCACCGGAUCUUCCGCAACACCCUCUUUCCAUGCAUUGGUGACAAGGACAAGGUGCAUGCCUAUCUCGUGGAUAUGAUGCUCAUUUGUGAGGAGGUGCGUCAUGCUCAGACGCAACCACUUGACGUCUCACACAUCAUGUGGUGUGAGCUACAGUUUGUGGUGUUCAACCGUAAGGUACCCAUCUAUGGACCUUACCUGUUUCUCUUGAUCACGAGGACUUGGGAGCAGCUCUAUCCCAAUGAUGAGUUUGUUGCCCCUGACUGGAUCCAUCACGACCCUGUCAAGCUCCGCAUCAAGCCUCAGUGGGCUAACACCACCACCCGUGCUGAGGCUGAGGCAGCUCAAAUGGAUGUUGAUAAGGAUGAGGCUGAGGAGGAGGAGGCGGAUGAGGACAACUCUGCUGGGUAUGCUCCUCCCUCUACUGAGCCCUCAUGGGCUAAGAAGCUGAAGGCCAAGAUGAAGGCCUUGUUCUGCAUGCAAGCCAAGGGGCAGUACAAGACCCAUGUUGCUUCCAAGGAGAGUCUCCGCCGCGACAAAAGGAUCUUGAGGACAUUUGGCGAGGAGGUAACCAGCGGAUCCGAGACGCACAUCACCCCAGAGGCUGAAUGGAUGGUGAAGCGGGGUUACCAGUGGACUGAAUCUAAGGAGGAGACCAUCCCCACUGCCGAGAGCGAUGAGGAGCGUGACGAGUGAUCGCUUCAGCUUGAGCCACCACUUGUGUCGUAGGUGUCCUCUCUGCCUUUUUGGUGUCUCGAUGCCAAAGGGGGAGAGAGUGUAGGAUUUGCGAGUUGUGUGUUGUGUUUCGUGUGUCGGAUUGUUUCGCUUUGUCGCUUUGCUUUCGUUCAGUUGGACCUCAUUUGCUUUGGUUUGAUUUGUGCUUGUGAGACCAGGUUCUCUUUCAUAUGAUGUAAGACAUAUGCACCCUAGUGUACCUUAUUGUCUUUCAUACUUAGUAGCUCGUGAGCCUAUGCUAUCUUGUGCCCUUUACUUUAUGAUCAUAGUUAUUAUCUUGCCUCCUUGCUUAGUGUUAGCUAUAUUGUUGCAAGAUAUGCCUUGUCUAUAAAAUAUAGGGGGAGUGUUGAUCCUAGUAUGUGUGCCGUGCAGUCCAAAGCAUUUCUCUAGAAAGCACACAUCUAGGGGGAGCCCGUCUAUAUUUUAUAGAUGUGGGGUUUGCCUAUGUUCUAUUUUUUAUCCCUAUGUGCAAAUCCCGUAUUGUCAUCAAUCCACCAAAAAGGGGGAGAUUGUAAGGGCAUAUUUAUCCCUUAGUUGUUUUGGUGAUUGAUGACAAUGCAUUUGCGGACUAAUCGUGUGCAUUGAGCAUUUCAGACAUAUCAUGACUAGGCACAAGACGGUUUGGUGCCCCUCGAAGACUAUUGAAGACGGCGUUUCUCUACGUUUCUUUUCGGUGGAUUUGAGUCGUAGGAAAGCCGUACUAUUAAGAGGGGGUCCGCGUUGGAAAGGUUUGGGUGGAAUGAACAUGUACACGUCUGUUCCUUUUUGCACCACCUUUCCUUUGGCUCUUUGGGGCAUCCUCCGUUUCUCCGUGUCUCUACAAAAUGAAGGACUCCUAGUGUUGCUGAACUGGGGCAUGCGGUAGUACUGCUCUUCGGAGCGGUAGUACCGCAGGCCCUUGCAGUAGUACGAGCCUCAGGCGCGGUAGUACCGCAGGUGCUCAUGGUAGUACCGCUCCUUGGGAGCGGUAGUACCGUGGCCUCAGGCCAGGCUCAGCUGCUCGAGCGGUUGUAGGGGCGGAUGUAAUUUUUUACAUCCGCGCCCUACACGGUAGUACUGCUCCAUGGGCGCGGUAGUACCGUGAGCUCUGGCCAGGCACAGCAGCAUGAGCGGAAGUAGGGGCGGAUGUAAUUUUUUACAUCCGCGCCCUACGCGGUAGUACCACUCCAGGCUUGCGGUAGUACCGUGUCAGAUUUUUGCAUAGAUCAAAACUCAGCGGAAGUAGCCAUGGAUGUAUUUUUAUAUGUCCAUGCCUUCCCAGUCUAGACCAACCCUGCCUUGCAGUAGUACCGCAAGGGGGAGUGGUAGUACCGCGCCAGCGUUUCUACCGCCCUCGGCUUCUUUGCCAUAGGCCUGGGUUAGCUCCUGUCGCGCCAGCGAUAGUAUCACAGGGCCUUGCGGUAGUACCAUGGGCUCGUGCGGUAGUACCGCUUGUUGUGUGCGGUAGUACCGCUCGUCGCGGGCUGAGUAAGUGGAUAAUGGUUGGAUUUGUUCUAUCACUAUAUAAGGGGAGUCUUCUUCUCCGAGUUGACUACCUCUUCCACCCCCAAGCUCCAUUGUUGCUCUAAGCUCCAUUUUCGCCCGAUCUCUCUCCCUAUCCAAUCAAACUUGUUGAUUUUCUAGGGAUUGGUUGAGAAGGCCCCGAUCUACACUUCCACCAAGAGAAAUUUGAUUCCCCCACUAAUCCCUUGCGGAUCUUGUUAAUCUUGGGUGUUUGAGCACCCUAGACGGUUGAGGUCACCGCGGAGCCACAUUCCAUUGUGGUGAAGCUUCGUGGUGUCGUUGGGAGCCUCCAAUUAAGUUGUGAAGAUUGCGCCAACCUAGUUUGUAAAGGUCCGGUCGCCGCCCCCAAGGGCACCAAUAGUGGAAUCAUGGCAUCUCGCAUUGUGUGAGGGUGUGAGGAGAAUACGGUCUAGUGGCUUCUUGGGGAGCAUUGUGCCUCCACACCGCUCCAACGGAGACGUACUUCCCCUCAAAAGGAAGGAACUUCGGUAACACAUCCUCGUCUUCACCGGUUCCACUCUUGGUUAUCUCGUACCUUUACUUGUGCAAGCUUAUUUUGUGUUGUAUCCCUUGCUUGCUUUUGUGCUUGUUGUUGUUGCAUCAUAUAGGUUGCUCACCUAGUUGCAUAUCUAGACAACCUACUUUGAUGCAAAGUUUAAAUUGGUAAACAAAAGCUAAAAAUUGUUAGUUUCCUAUUCACCCCCCCCUCUAGUCAACUAUAUCGAUCCUUUCAAUUACUAACACUCACCGCGUACACAUGAGCAAAACGUUUCAACUGGACACAUAGAAAGAUAGGGGCUUAUAGUUUUGCCUCCCAACAUAUUCACCUCAAGGGUGAUGUCAACAAUAAUAACUCAUGCUAUCUAUAUUCAACUUGACAUAUGUGCCUAGAUCUUUCCUCACCACAUGAUGCUUGCCAAAGGAGAAAAAUGAAUAAAAGGAAAACUUUGACUCUUUGCAUAAAAGUAAAUACAUAAAAGUAAAAGAUAGGCCCUUCGCAGAGGGAAGCAGAGGUUGCCAUGUGCUUAUUUGUUUGUAUGCUCAACCCCUUAGUGCAAAAGAACGGCAUGUUACAUUGCCCCUUGUGAUAGCGACCUUUAUUAUGCAGUCUGUCGCUUUUAUUCUUCACCAUUAGAAGUUCGUGCAACGCUCAAUUUUCUCUUACACUAAAUGAUCUCACACAUUUAGAAGCAAUUUUUAUUUCCUUUUUGCACUGAUGACAACUUACUUGAGGGAUUACUCAAUCCCUAGGUAGGUAUGGUGGACACUUGAAAAUAAGAUUUGGGUUUAAGGGUUUUUGGAUGCACAAGUAGUAUCUCUACUUAGUGCGGAAUUUUUGGCUAGCAAAGAUAGGGGGCAAGCACCACAUGUUAAAGGAUCCAUGACAAUAUGACUUCUAUGAGAAUAUAAACAAACAUAAACCAUUAAGUUGUCUUCCUUGUCCAACGUCAACAAUUUUGGCAUAUAAUAUUUUGAUGAGGGCUCACAAUCACAAAAGAUUUCUAGGAUAGUAUAUUUAUAUGUGAAUCUUCUCUUCCCUUAUCAAUUCUUUCAUGAGUUGCAUCAUUGACUAAUGCUAUGUUUGUCAAUCUCUAAUAAAUUUUUCUACUUAUACUUUUCCUUAUGUGGUGUCAUCACCUACCAUAAGAUUAGUAUAUGAUCUUUUUCAUUAUUUCUUUCCUUUUAUUUAUUUCCUUUCUCUUUUUCUUCCUUAUUUCCUUUCUUUUAUUUGUAACAUGAAAGUAAAGAAAGCAAAAACUCAAACUAAACUUUAUUAUAUAUCUUGCACACGAUUACAAGGAUAGACCACUAAGCAAACUCUCAAAGAAGAAAUGAUCGAACUAAACUUUUAUUCAUCUAAAGCAAAAGAUCGAACUAAAAUAAGUAAAGGCAAAAAUAUAGUCGGAUGAUACGAUACCGGGGCACCUCCCCCAAGCUUGGCGGAAGCCAAGGGGAGUGCCCAUACCUGAUACUUAAUUCUCCUUUGGUGAUGAAGAAGAUGGUGGUGGUGAAGAGAUCUUGUCCUCGGAUUUCCAUGGCAGUGGUCCACCAUCAUAAGAGGAGGAGUGAGUCUCACGGGUCCUUGCACAUCGCGGAUGUGCAGCACCCCCUCAUGCAUCUGGAUGGUUUGAGGGUGCUACACCACCUCCCUCAGAUAUGGGUUGAUGACGUUCUUGAAGAACUUGUCCUUGGAGGAGCUUGUAGCGGCCAUGGUAGAUGGGAUCUGACAGAAAACAGCAAGAAAAGAGAACAGAGGAUUUCUCCGCGAUACGGUGGUUAGCAGGUUCAGGAAGUAUAUACAGUUUUGCCAGGCGCGCCCAAGUAGGUUGUGCUGUUGGGGAACGUAGUAAUUUCAAAAAAAUUCCUACGCUCAUGGUGAUGCAUAGCAACGAGAGGGGAGAGUGUUGUCCACGUACCCUCGUAGACCGAAAGCGGAAGCGUUAGCACAACGCGGUUGAUGUAGUAGUACGUCUUCAUGAUCCGACCGAUCCAAGUACCGAACAUACGACACCUCCGAGUUCAACACAUGUUCAGCUCGAUGACGUCCCGCAAACUCCGAUCCAGCAGAGCUUCACGGGAGAGUUCCGUCAGCACGAUGGCGUGAUGAUGGUGAUGAUGUUGCUACCGACGCAUGGCUUCGCCUAAGCACCGCUACGAUAUGACCGAGAUGGAAUAUGGUGGAGGGGGGCACCGCACACGGCUGGAAUAGAUCAACAGAUCAACUUGUGUGUCUAGAGGUGCCCCCUGCCCCCAUAUAUAAAGGAGCAAGGGGGAGGCGGCCGGCCAGGAGGAGGGCGCGCCAAGGGGGGAGUCCUACUCCCACCGGGAGUAGGACUCCUCCUUUUCCUUGUUGGAGUAGGAGAGGGAAGGGAGGGAGAGAGGAGGAGAAGGAAAAAGGGGGGCGCCGCCCCCUCCUUGUCCAAUUCGGACUAGAGGGGGAGGGGGCGCGCGGCUGCCCUGGCCGCCCCUCCUCUUCUCCCACUAAGGCCCAUGAGGCCCAAUUAACUCCCCGGGGGGUUUAGGUAACCCCCCGGUACUCCGGUUUUUCUCCGAAACCACUCGGAACACUUCCGGUGUCCGAAUAUAGUCAUCCAAUAUAUCGAUCUUUACGUCUCAACCAUUUCGAGACUCCUCGUCAUGUCCGUGAUCAUAUCCGGGACUCCGAACUACCUUCGGUACAUCAAAACACAAAAACUCAUAAUACCGAUCGUCACCAAACUUUAAGCGUGCGGACCCUACGGGUUCGAGAACUAUGUAGACAUGACCGAGACACGUCUCCGGUCAAUAACCAAUAGCGGAACCUGGAUGCUCAUAUUGGCUCCCACAUAUUCUACGAAGAUCUUUAUCGGUCAAACCGCAUAACAACAUACGUUGUUCCCUUUGUCAUCGGUAUGUUACUUGCCCGGGAUUCGGUCGUCGGUAUCUCAAUACCUAGUUCAAUCUCGUUACCGGCAAGUCUCUUUACUCGUUCAAUAAUACAUCAUCUCGCAACUAACUCAUUAGUUACAAUGCUUCCAAGGCUUAUAGUGAUGUGCAUUACCAAGAGGGCCCAAAGAUACCUCUCCGACAAUCGGAGUGACAAAUCCUAUUCUCGAUCUAUGCCCACUCAACUAACACCAUCGGAGACACCUGUAGAGCACCUUUAUAAUCACACAGUUAUGUUGUGACGUUUGGUAGCACACAAAGUGUUCCUCUGGUAUUCGUGAGUUGCAUAAUCUCAUAGUCAUAGGAACAUGUAUAAGUCAUGGAGAAAGCAAUAGCAGAAAACUAAACGAUCAAGUGCUAUGCUAACGGAAUGGGUCAAGUCAAUCACAUCAUUCUCCUAAUGAUGUGAUCCCGUUAAUCAAAUGACAACUCAUGUCUAUGGCUAGGAAACUCAACCAUCUUUGAUCAACGAGCUAGUCAAGUAGAGGCAUACUAGUGACACUAUGUGUGUCUAUGUAUUCACACAUGUAUUAUGUUUCCGGUUAAUACAAUUCUAGCAUGAAUAAUAAGCAUUUAUCAUGAAAUAAGGAAAUAAAUAAUAACUUUAUUAUUGCCUCUAGGGCAUAUUUCCUUCAUGUGCCCACCAGGGUAUGCUUCCUGGAAGUUUCUUAUUUUCCUAUUUUUCUAAAUAUUCCAAAACUGAUAAAAAAUAUUUUUGCGGAUUUUUUUGGAGUUCGUUUACUUACCAUAUCACGUACCUCCUUAUUUUCAUGAUUCUGGAGUAUUCCGGAAGGACUCUUAUGUGUUCUUCCGGUGUCAAAGUUUGGAUAAUAUUACUUUCAACGUUAAUGGGCGUACCUGAGAUAUAAUGUUUUAUUCGUUGCCCAUUGAAAACCUUCAGGUUAGUACCUUCGGCAUUAUUUAUUUUGAUGGCUCCAGACCGAUAAACCUCCUCGAUAACGUAGGGGCCUUCCCAUUUUGAGAGGAGCUUUCCUGCAAAGAAUCUGAAACGACAGUUGUACAAAAGAACAUAUUCUCCGACUUUAAACUCAUGCUUUUGGAUUCUUUUGUCAUGCCAUUUUUUAACUUUUUCUUUGAAUAAUUUUGCAUUUUCAUAAUCUUGGGUUCUCCAUUCAUCUAAAGAACUAAUAUCAAAUAACCUCUUUUCACCAUAAAGUUUGAAACAUUAAUUGAGCUCCUUGAUGGCCCAAUAUGCUUUAUGUUCUAACUCAAGAGGUAAAUGAAAAGCUUUUCCAUAAACCAUUUUAUAAGGAGACAUACCCAUAGGAUUUUUAUAUGCCGUUCUAUAAGUCCAAAGUGCAUCAUCUAAUUUCUUAGACCAAUUCUUCCUGGACCUAUUGACAGUCUUUUGCAAAAUUAAUUUUAUUUCUCUAUUGCUAAGUUCAACUUGACCACUAGACUGAGGAUGAUAAGGUGAUGCAAUUCUAUGGUUAACAUCGUACUUGGCAAGCAUUGUACGGAAAGCACCAUGAAUAAAGUGUGAACCACCAUCAGUCAUUAAAUAUCUAGGGACUCCAAACCUUGGGAAAAUAACUUCCUUAAGCAUUUUAAUAGAGGUGUUGUGAUCAGCACUACUGGUUGGAAUAGCUUCUACCCAUUUAGUAACAUAAUCAACAUCAACCAAAAAAUGUGUAUACCCAUUAGAGGAAGGAAAAGGUCCCAUGUAAUCAAAUCCCCACACAUCAAAUGGUUCAACAGCAAGUGAAUAGUUCAUAGGCAUUUAUUGACGCUUAUCGAUAUUACCUAUUCUUUGACAUUCAUCACAAGAUAAGACGAACUUACGGGCAUCCUUGAAGAGAGUAGGCCAAUAAAAUCCAGAUUGCAAUACCUUGUGAGCAGUUCUAUCUCCAGCAUGAUGCCCUCCAUAAGCUUCGGAGUGGCAUUUCCGUAGGAUUUGUCCCUUUUAUAUCUUUAGGACAUGGCAUUUUCUCAAUUGCAUCAACCUUAGCUUUGUCCACUUCAAUACCUCUUUCAAAAAAUUUAUGACCGAAGACAAUGCCUUCAUUAACCAUAAAGUGGCACUUCUCCCAAUUCAAGACAAGAUUUGUUUGUUCACAUCUCUGCAAAACUCGAUCAAGAUUGCUUAAACAAUCAUCAAAAGACUUCCCAUAAACAGAGAAGUCAUCCAUGAAAACCUCAACAAUCUUUUCACAAAAGUCAGAGAAUAUAGCAAUCAUUCAUCUUUGAAAGGUAGAAGGUGCAUUGCAUAAACCAAAAGGCAUACGUCUAUAAGCAUAGGUUCCAAGGACAAGUAAAAGUGGUCUUUUCUUGAUCAGGUUGAGAAACAGGUAUUUGUGAAAAACCAGAAUAUCCAUCAAGGAAGCAAAAAUGUGUGUGCUUAGAUAAUCUUUCAAGCAUUUGAUCAAUAAAAGGCAGAGGGUAAUGAUCUUUUCUAGUUGCUUUGUUUAAUUUUCUAAAAUCAAUUACCAUUCUACAGCCUGUAACAAUUCUUUGUGGAAUAAGUUCAUUCUUAUCAUUAGGAACAAUAGUUAUACCUCCUUUCUUAGGGACACAAUGAACAGGACUUACCCAUCUACUAUUAGCUAUAGGAUAGAUUAUACCUGCUUCCAGAAGUUUUAAUAUUUCCGUUCUUACCACUUCUUUCAUCUUCGGGUUUAACUAACGUUGCUGGUCAACAACAGGUUUAGCAUUAGGUUCCAUAUUAAUUUUGUGCUGACAUAGAGUGGGACUAAUGCCUUUAAAUCAUCAAGAGUAUAUCCAAUAGCAGCUCAGUGCUUCCUUAGAACUUUCAAUAAUCUUUCUUCUUCAUGUUCUGAAAGGUUAGCACUAAUAAUAACAUGAUAUAUCUUCUUUUCAUCAAGAUAAGCAUAUUUCAAAGUGUCUGACAAUUGUUUUAAUUCAAACACAGGAUCACCUUUAGGUGGAGGAGGACCUCUUAGAGUUUCUAUAGGCAAAUUGUGUUUAAGCAAGGGACGUUGUUCGAAGAAAAUCUUAUCUAUUUCAUUUCUUUCAUGCAUAUGUAAAUCAUUUUCAUGGUCUAGCAAAUAUUUUUCUAGUGGAUCAGUAGGUGGCACGGCAAUAGAAGCAAGACCAAUUAAUUCAUCUUUACUAGGCAAUUCUUUUUCAUGAAGUUUUCUACUAAACUUGGAAAAAAUAAACUCAUGAGACUCAUCACCAAAACUAACACCGACAUUUUGUUUCUCACAAUCUAUUUUAGCAUCAAUGGUGUUCAAGAAAGGUCUACCAAAGAUAAUGGGACAAAAGUCUGGGGAACCAAGAACAAGAAAAUCAGUAGGGUAUUUUAUUUUCUCACACAAGACUUCAACAUAUCUAACAAUCCCAAUUGGUGAUAUGGUGCCUCUAUUGGCAAGUUUAAUAGUAACAUCUAUUUCUUCUAUCUCUGCGGGUGCUAUGUCAUUCAUAAUUUCUUGAUAUAAGUUGUAAGGAAUAGCACUCACACUAGCACCUAUGUCACAUAAACCAUGAUAACAGUGAUCUCCUAUUUUAACUGAGAUGACAGGCAUGCCAACAACAUGUCUAUGUUUAUCCUUUUUAUCAGGUUUGGCAAUUCUAGAGCUUCUUCAUAGAAGUAAAUAACAUGCCCAUCCAUAUCUUCUUCCAAGAGAUCUUUAACCAUAGCAAUACUAGGUUCUACUUUGAUUUGUUGAUCAGGUUUAGGUGUUCUAAUAUAGCUUUUGUUAACCACAGUUGAAACUUUAGCAUGUUCCUUUAUACUAACAGGGAAAGGUGGUUUCUCAAUAUAAGCAGAAGGAACAACUAGAUCGACAUUGUAAAGUAUAGUUUCUUCUUUAACGAGUAUCAUUUUUUUAUUUAAUAGGUGGGUGAUAUUUAAACCAAUUCUCUUUAGGGAGAUCAACAUGAGUAGCAAAUGAUUCACAGAAGGAAGCUACUAUCUCAGAGUCAAGUCCAUAUUUAGUGCUAAACUUUUGAAAAGCAUCGGUAUCCAUAAAAGAUUUAACACAAUCAUACUUAAGCUUAAUACCUGACUCUUUACCUUCGUUGAGUUCCCAAUCUUCAGAGUUGCAUUUAAUUCUUUCCAAAAGAUCCCGCCGAAAUUCAAUAGUCUUCUUCAUAAAAGAACCAGCACAAGAAGUAUCAAGCAUGGUUUGAUCAUUACCAGAAAGCCGAGCAUAAAAGUUCUGGAUAAUAAUUUCUCUUGAGAGCUCAUGAUUGGGGCAUGAAUAUAACAUUGACUUAAGCCUCCCCCAAGCUAGAGCGAUACUUUCUCCUUCACGAGGCCACAAAUUAUAUAUAUAAUUCCGAUCACGAUGAACUAGAUGCAUAGGAUAUUUUUUUUGGUGGAACUCCAAUUUGAGACGAUUCCAAUUCCAAGAUCCAAUAUCAUCGCAUAGCCUAUACCAUGCCAAUGCUUUUCCCUUCAAAGAAAAAGGGAAAAACUUUUUCAUAACUUCAUCCCUGGGUAAACCUGCAAGCUUGAACAAUCCACAAAUUUGUUCUACAUAUAUCAAGUGCAUAUCAGGAUGUUCGGUUCCAUCUCCUGCAUAAGGAUUAGCUAGCAGUUGUUUUAUCAUACCCGAAGGAAUUUCAUAUUCAAUAUUUUCAGUAGGUGUAGUAGGUUGAUGGGUAGCUCAUUGUGGUUCCGGUCGAGGUGAAGAUACCCCGAAAAAACCCCUCAAAUGAUUGUUUUCCAUAGUAACAAGUGACAAUAAAUUUCAGCACACUAUAUAAACGUUUCCUUACCAAAUUCCACUUACUAAAGGCGCUUUACUCCCCGGCAACGGCGCCAGAAAAUAGCCUUGAUGACCCACAAGUAUAGGGGAUCAAUUGUAACUCUUUUCGAUAAGUAAGUGUGUCGAACCCAACGAGGAGCAGAAGGAAAUGACAAGUAGUUUUCAGUAAGGUAAUGUCUGCAAGAGCUAAAAUUGUAAGUAGCGGAGUAGUUUGAUAGCAAGAUAAUUUGUAAUGAGCAAGUAACGAUAGUACUAACAAAAGUGAAGCAAGGUAGCCCAAUCCUUUUGAGGCAAAGGACAGGCCAAAACGGUAUCUUAUGAUAAGCAAAGCGUUCUUGAGGGUACACGAGAUUUUCAUCUAGUCACUUUCACCAUGUUGGUUUGAUUUGUGUUCGCUACUUUGAUAAUUUGAUAUGUCGGUGGACCGGUGCUUAGGUGAUGUUAUUACUUGAACAAACCUCCUACUUAUGAUUAACCCUCCCGCAAGCAUCCGCAACUACGAGAAAAUUAUUAAGAAUAAAUUCUAACCAUAGCAUUAAACUUUUGGAUCCAAUCAGUCCCGUACGGAAUAACGCAGAAAUUGGGGUUUAAGCUUCUGUCACUCUCGCAACCCAUCAUCUAAUUGCUACUCCACAAUGCAUUCCCUUAGGCCCAAAUAUGGUUAAGUGUCAUGUAGUCGACGACACCACUAAGGGAAUCACAACAUACAUACUAUCAAAAUAUCGAACACAUAUCAAGUUCACAUGAUUACUUGCAACAUGAUUUCUCCCGUGACCUCAAGAAGAAAAGUAACUACUCACAAAUAAUAAUCAUGCUCAAGAUCAGACGGGUAUUAAAUAGCAUAUUGGAUCUGAACAUAUAAUCUUCCACCAAAUAAACCAUAUCGUAAUCAACUACAAGAUGUAAUCAACACUACUAGUCACCCACAAGCACCUAUCUAUAGUUCUGGUAACAAGAUUGAACACAAGAGAUGAGUUAGGGUUUGAGAUGAGAUGGUGUUGUUGAAGAUGUUGAUGGAGAUUACCCUCCCCAAGAUGGGAGAGUUGUUGGUGAUGAUGAUGAUGAUGAUUUCCCCCUCCGGGAGGGAAGUUCCCCCGGCGGAAUCGCUCCGCCUCGGGGCAAAAGUGCUCCUGCCCAAGUUCCGCCUCAAGACGGCGGCGCUCUGUCCCGAAAGCCUUCUCCUUAUUUUUUUUCUAGGUCAAAAUGACCUAUAUACCAUAAGAUGGGCACCGGAGGUGGGCCUGGGUGAGCACAACCCACCAGGGCGCGCCUGGGAUCCCUGGCGCGCCCAGGUGGGUUGUGCCCACCUGGUGGGCCCCUCUAGUAGUUAUUUGCUCCAAUAUUCCACAAAUACUCCAUAAAAAAUCCUCGUGAAGUUUUAGUUUGUUUGGAGUUGUGCAGAAUAGGUAGCCUGACGUAGCUUUUCUAGGUCCAGAUUUCCUGCUGUCGGAAUUCUCCCUCUUUGUGUAUACCUUGCAUAUUAUGAGAGAAAAGGCAUUAGAAUUACUCCAAAAGCAUUAUUAUGGAUAAAAACAUCAUAAAUAACAGUAAGAAAACAUGGUGCAAAAUGGACACGUAUCAGGGUACGAAACCUCCUCAAAGUUAUCCUUUCUGAUCAAUCUAUUGAGCUAUCUCUAUAAGUGUCACAAACAUCCCUAGAGUUCGUACUAAAAUAACACCAUAUGAUACACAUCAACCAACUCUAGUGUCACCUAGAUACUCCAAUGUCACCACAAGUAUCUGUGAGUUGAUUAUAUGAUAUGCAUCAAACAACUUCAGGUUCAUAAUAUUCAAUCCAACACAAAGAACUUCAAAGAGUGUCCAAAGAUUUCUACCGGAGAAAGUAUGACGAAAACGUGCAUCAACCCCUAUGCAUAGAUUACCCCAAUGUCACCUCAGGAAUCCGCGAGUUGAGUGCCAAAACAUACAUCAAGUGAAUUAAUAUAAUACCCCAUUGUCACCUUGAUACGUCUCCAUCGUAUCUACUUUUCCAAACUCUUUUGCCCUUGUUUUUGACUCUAACUUGCAUGAUUUGAAAUUAACUAACCCGAACUGAUGUUGUUUUCAGUAGAAUUGCUAGGGUGUUAUUUUUGUACAGAAAUAAAAGUUCUCGGAAUGACCUGAAAAUUCACGGAGAUCAAUUUUGGAAUUAAUAAAAAAUAUUGGCGAAAGAAUCAACAGAAGGGAGCCCACACCCUGGCCACAAGGGUAGGGCGCGCCCUCCGACCUUGUGGGCCCCCUGGACCUCCACCGACCUCAACUCCAACUCCAUAUAUUCAUAUUCGAGUAGAAAAAAUCAGAGAGAAGGAUUCAUCGUGUUUUACGAUACGGAGCCGCCACCAAGCCCUGUUCUUCCUCGGGAGGGCAGAUCUGGAGUCCGUUUUGGGCUCCGGAGAGGGGAAUCUGUCGCCAUCAUCAUCAACCAUCCUCCAUCACCAAUUUCAUGAUGCUCACCUCCGUGCGUGAGUAAUCCCAUCGUAGGCUUGCUGGACCAUGAUGGAUUGGAUGAUAUUUACCAUUUAAUCGAGUUAGUUUUGUUAGGGUUUGAUCCCUAGUAUCCACUAUGUUCUAAGAUUGAUGUUGCUAUGACUUUGCUAUGCUUAAUGCUUGUCACUAGGGCCCGAGUGCCAUGAUUUCAGAUCUGAACCUCUUGAUCCUAUCUUGCAAGUUAUAGUCACCUACUACGUGUUAUGAUCCGGCAACCCCGGAGUGACAAUAGUCGGGACCACUCCCGGUGAUGACCGUAGUUUGAGGAGUUCAUGUAUUCACUAAGUGCUAAUGCUUUGGUCCGGCACUCUAUUAAAAGGAGGCCUUAAUAUCCCUUAGUUUCCAAUAGGACCCCGCUGCCACGGGAGGGUAGGACAAAAGAUGUCAUGCAACUUCUUUUCCAUAAGCACGUAUGACUAUAUACGGAAUACAUGCCUACAUUAUAUUGAUGAAUUGGAGCUAGUUCUGUGUCACCCUAUGUUAUAACUGUUGCAUGAUGAAUGCCAUCCGACAUAAUUAUCCAUCAUUGAUCCAUUGCCUACGAGCUUUUCACAUAUUGAUCUUUGCUUCGUUACUUUUCCGUUGCUACUGUUACAAUUGCUACGAAACUACUACUGUUACUUCUGCCACCGUUACCGUUACUUCCAUACUACUUUGCUACUAAAUACUUUGCUGCAGAUAUUAAGUCUUUCAGGUGUGGUUGAAUUGACAACUCAGCUGCUAAUACUUGAGAAUAUUCUUUGGCUCCCCUUUUGUCGAAUCAAUAAAUUUGGGUUGAAUACUCUACCCUCAAAAACUGUUGCGAUCUCCUAUACUUGUGGGUUAUCAAGACCUUUUUCUGGCGCCGUUGUCGGGGAACAUAGCUCUAUUCUCUGAGUCACUUGGGAUUUAUAUCGGUUGAUCACUAUGAGGAAUCCGAAAGACAACAAAGCCAAGAUCUAUCCCUCAACUACGAGGGGAGGUAAGGAACUUCCAUCUAGCUCUGCACUUGAUUCUCCUUCUGUUUUAAGCAAACUUGCGACACCUACACCUGCUAUUGAUUCUGAUAUGUAGCAUGUUAUUGAUGAUGCCACUUCUUCUAUGCAUGAUGCUUAUGAUGAAACUACUUCUCUGCUUGAUAAUACUGUGCCACUAGGUGAAUUUCUUGAUGAACAACUUGCUAAGGUUAGAGAGAAUGAAAUUACUAGAUAUGAAUUGCCUGUUGUACCCGAGGGUUACGUUAUGGAUGAAGAAACUGCUAGAGACUUCUUUGCGUGCAAUGAUAGAGAGGAUCUUAAGAAAUUGUUAGCAAAGCUGAAAGAAAAAUCCUUGAAUGCUAGAAUGAAAUAUGAUCCCACUUUUGCUACUUCACCUAUCUUUGUUACUGGUAAGGAUUAUGAAUUCUCCGCCGAUCCUGAUUUAAUUACUUUGGUUGAAUAUGAUCCUUUCUGUGGUUAUGAAUCUGAAACUGUUGUGGCACAUCUUACUAAAUUGAAUGAUAUAGCCACCCUAUCUGCUCAUAAGGAAAAAAUCCGCUAUUACUAUGUUCUUAAAUUGUUUCCUUUCUCAUUAAAGGGUGAUGCUAAACUAUGGUUUAAUUCUCUUGCUCCUGGUUGAGUGUGUAGUCCCCAGGAUAUGAUUUACUAUUUCUCUGAAAAUAUUUCCCCGCUCAUAAGAAACAAGCUGCUUUAAGGGAAAUAUUUAAUUUUGUGCAAAUUGAAGAAGAGAGUCUCCCACAAGCUUGGGGGAGGCUUCUCCAAUUACUUAAUGCUUUGCCUGAUCAUCCUCUCAAGAAAAAUGAAACACUUGAUAUCUUUUAUAAUGGACUAACUGAUGCUUCCAGAGACCACCUGGAUAGUUGUGCUGGUUGUGUUUUCAGGGAAAGAACCGUUCAGCAAGCUGAAUUGCUAUUGAAUAAUAUAAUGAGUAAUGAUAAUGACUGGACACUUCCUGAACCAACUCCUAAGCCAACUCCGAAGAAAAGGGGUGUUCUAUUUCUCAGUCCUGAAGAUAUGCAAGAGGCAAAGAAAUCUAUGAAAGAAAAGGGUAUUAAAGCUGAAGAUGUUAAAAUUUACCGCCUAUUGAAGAAAUACAUGCUCUUGAUAACCCGACACCGGUAGUAGAGGUAAACUCUCUUCGUAGAUUUGAUGAAGGUGAUAUCCCUCAUAAUAAGUCUGCUAGUCAAGGCUUGGAUGAGUUUGAUAAUUUUAUUGUUAAACAAGAAAAUUUCAAUGCUUAUGUUAGUAGACAAUUGAAAUGUAAUGCUUAUAUGCUUGACCACUUGAGUGAUUAUAUGAGUAGAACUAUUAAUGAUCUUAAGCUUAUUAGUAAACAUGCUUCCAUGGUUACAACUCAAGUAGAACAAGUACUUAAGGCACAAGAUGAUUUGCUUAACGAGUUGAAUAGUAAAAAUAAUGAUAAUGUUGUUAGGGUUAUGACUAGAGGUAGUAAAAUGACCCAGGAACCUUUGUAUUCUAAGGGUCAUCCUAUGAGAGUUGAGCAGGAUUCUCAGAGAACUAAUACUAAUGCACCUAGUCCUCGUACUAAAAAGAAAAAGAAAAC
rnacentral:lncRNA from 1 species